rnacentral:lncRNA from 1 species
UGUAUCGAUCUCAACUUCCGCAAACGCAGCUCCAUAGGUGUAAUAUCUGAAUGGGUCUCCUUUACCAGAGAUCCAGUCAAAGCCAACGUCGGGAACAAUGUAAAAGCCAUGAGCCGAGAGGUCUAUUCGUUGAAAAUAGCAUGCACUUGCCAGCUACAUACCAAUCAAAACAAAGCAGGUUAAGAGAGUUUUAUUCAUCAAAAGGCAAAGAAUGUUUCAUUGAGUUACCUCAGCAAAGGAGUUGCCACUGAGCUUAGUGGCAAGAGGCUCCAUUCGUGCUUUAAUCUGCUCACAAGCGUCCAAAACCGCAGCACCGUACAUGCAGAGCUCAGAGAAGCAGCGGUUGGUGACGCAUUUGGAACCUAUCAAAAUAUAGAGCAACGAACAGUUUUGUGCCUGAAACAUAGUUACAUAUUAUUUCUUAACACUUUAUAUUAUAAAUAUUACCUUGUCGGUGCUCGUCUCUGAUACAAAAACGGAACUAAGGGGAAUGUUAAAGGCAAAAGCAGCAACUUGGGCAACCUUCGUAUGCAAUCCUUGACCCAUCUCUACACCUCCAUGUGUCACCAAAACAGUGCCGUCUGUGUACACAUGAACAAGAGCACCUGCCUAACACCCAAAAUAAAAAAUGGAUAAGUAACAAAAACUCUGUUUCUUGCUUCGCAAGAAAUGGUAGUGCAAAGUGGACUGUUUCUUACCUGGUUCAUGAACUUUUUGGUAAAUGAAACGCCAAACUUUGUAGGAACCAUAGCCACACCACGCUUUUUCCACCGGUUGUGGCUAUUAAAAUCGUCGACUUCUCUACGAGCCUUUAGAAAGUUGCAAGACACUUUCAGCUCCUUCCAGAGCUGAUGCAGUGUGCAAUGCUGAAUACACUGAGAGUAAUGUGUGAUAGAGCCUUCCACUUGAAAGUUCAUCUCCUAAAUUGACACGCAAGAAAACAUCAAAACAUGAGAAAAAAUUCCUAUGAACUUUCAGGAACAUUAUGAUUUCUUCAACUCACUUUGAUUUCUUCAGGGCUUCUAUCCAGUUCAGCUGCGAUUCUCUGGAUCCAGUUUUCGGUUAUAAGCAUGCCUUGCGGACCUCCAAAGCCUCGGAAAGCAGUGUUGCUAGGAUAGUUAGUAAAGCAAACGUUCCCUCUGAUCCUCACAUGUGGGAUCUCAUAGACAUUAUCAGAGUUAAACAUGGCAAUCUCAAGAACAGCUUGGGAAAGAUCCAAAGAGUUUCCACCAUUGUUGUAGACUUCAAGGUCAUACGCCAAUACUUUCCCACCAUUAGUAAACCCAACCUGUAAAUAGUAUCGGAAUAACAAUUAAUAAGAAAACGCUUUAUCUAAUAACCACAGAGGAUGAUGAUACCUUCGUUGCCACCAUCACUUGUCCAGACCAAACUACCAUGGGCUCCAUGUAAAAGUGUUCCUGGCUGCCCAUUUGAACCUCUCCAUUUAUUAUCCUAUCUCACUGACCUGACUGAAAGCAUAGCUCUACAUCUCCUUUCCUUAGCAUUUUCUCUGUGUUUGGGUGGAAACUUUUAGCAGCAAUAGCCUCCUUGAUUGAUAAUAUUGCUGGUAAUAUAGCAUUUUCAUGUGUAUCCGCAACAACCACACCAAUGACCUGAAAAAAUCCAGACACAGUUUAGCGAUAAUCUAAGAAAUAAAAAGUUUCAAGUCUUCUUACUUGUCCCACACAUGUGACCACAUCUGUAGCAAAUAAUUCUUCAUCAGCUACCACAGGUCCAGUCUUAUUAUCUGCUGGACCGUAUUUGGCAAGAAACAUACCAGCAAAACCACGUGAAGAUUUGGAGGCACUGGGGCAUCAGUAUAUUCUGCUUCCCCUGUGACCUACAUGAAAGUUCAAGAGUGUUGAGAGUUGAGACAUUGUGUUAUGCUUUGAUUUCACGAUUUCCUUCUAUAAUAGUUUACUGAAAAAUGCUUUGAUAAGCAAUCAUUUUCUAGACUUCUUGUUAUGUUGUUGAGAAACUUAAGGUCCCAUUUGGUUCUUAUAUAAUAUUACGAGUUUUCUCUCUGGUUCAAGAAUCGAGACAACGCCGCUACCGCUGCUUCUUGACGCCGGCAAGGCUAGAGGCCGCCGGCGUCGGGAAAUCUGCUACAUCUUCCUCAUGGUUUCUCUCGCUCCAAGUCAAAGCUCUCGUCUUGUUUCUUGCUUCGCACUUACUCAAUCAGUUUCUCUAGAUCUGGGGCCGUCGAAACUGGAGCAAACCUUCGUGGUCUCUGCUCAGGUUUUCAAGACCACCGGAACUGCAUCCUUCACCGGGGUCUCCCGAAAAAGCUGUACAAGGUCCACCUUUCACCUCCUUCCCUACUCUGAGUUCGCCCUUCACAUGUGCUUCAGAUCUGAGAGGCCCUCCGUGGGAUGUUCCGGAUCUGAGCUACGCUCGGAUAAAGAUCAAAACUCAGCCAUAAAGAACACUUCAGGCCACCGCAGUGCAUCAUCUUUGAGUUAUAAACAGGGUUCCGUUUCUCUUCUCGGCGGCUGCUCAACCCCCAACAUUCCAAAUAUCAUAGCAUUCUCUCCUCCAUCUUGCGCCACCGUCCUUCAUCCCGACAACGAAGUGCUCCUUAGCUUUGCCACACACACCCUUGUCUACAAGCUCAGACCCGAUGUUCUCCGUUCCAGCUCCGCCUCCCACCCUCCAGCCAGGCUGGUUGUUAAUGGGCCGAAUUUCAAUUGUUUGUGGGCCUGGCCCAGUACCACUAAAGAAGGAAGCGGCCCUUUGCUUAGUCAGUCAAUACCCACUGCAUACGAGAGUCAACUAACCACGGGUUUGAUUAUUUUGACUAGUUUAAAGAAUUCUGAGGGGUUCCUUGGGAUCUAUAUUAUGUCCUUAUUGUUAUAUCACUCUUAUAGGAUGAAUUGUUCGGUGGAUUCACCGACUUUGUUACCGGUACUAUCAUUCUCUUCUACAAGGGAGAGAAUCUUAUUACCAUGCCUCUUUUCUGUGAAAGGAGAUGAUUCCUCGGGUUUAAUACCGAGAGUUUGCUUCAACUUACUCACCGGUUUGCCACCUUGUGUAGCGGUCUGUACGGGGCCAGAAGGUGCAAUCGAGACUACUUCGGUUUCUCUCGUUGGUGAGGGUUGGCUUUCAACGUCACAACAUAAGGUGACUAAAUCUCAGCUGUCGGACCGUGUCUUACAUGCUUCCUCGACGCAUUCAAGCUUUGUCUUGAAUUCGCUGUCAUCUUCUGAUGAAGAAUUAUCAUGUUUAAUUAAUCUUAAUUGCUGUUGUAGCUUAUGUUUAUUUUUCAAGAGGAUGUUUAAUUCCCUCUUGUUAUUGUAGUUCUUCGAGUUGAUUUAAUGAAAAAAAAAGUUUGUGUUCAAAAAAAAAAAGCAAUCAUUUUCUACCCAAGAGAAGAGAGAUACAUCUUUCUUCCAUGUUUGAAUAGGCAGAGAUAACACAAAGAAUGGUGAUAACAACACUCGGUUACACUAUGAUUCACAGCGAUUGUUCUUUAAAUCCUCAAGAAUCUGUUACCUAUAAAUUUAUAAGAAAACAGCUCACCUUUUUAAAAUAAAAUAAAAAUAAGUUCGAUAGAGAUCAUCAAAUUCAUAAUGGAAGUGAACUUGUCCAAGGAAGAAUAUAAGAAACUUGAACGAACAAAACAUCUUUCCUCAUCAACGAAACCAAUAUGUGCAAGAAACGGAGCAAAGGUAUGUCUCUGAGAUUCUUCCAAGCAACUUGAAGUAGAUAGGGUACUUGCAACGAUCCUUACACCGCCCCUUGCAAAACGGACGAGUUACACUAUCAUUGAGCCCCACCUGACACGAUUUGCCCCAAAUCUUUGCUAAACUUCUUGGCAUGAGCCCUGUCGAGUCUCCGAGCACACACCUUGUAUGCAAACUAGCCCGCUGAUCUUUACAAGUGUAGAACCAUUCCUUUGAAUCGGUUUCUUUCUCGCAGAUGUCACACCAAUAUUUACCACUUGCCUCCUCUUCUUCGCCAUAGCACAGUGAGAGAGGAUGAUCGUCUACUCUAUUCUUCACCACUUGUGGUAGAGUGGCGCAUUUGAAUCCCAAUGCAAAUCCACAAUCACCUUCAAUGCACCUGAGGACAUGUGAUUCCUUCAAGUUGCAACCAUUGCAUAUUUCUACUUCUUCUGUUGGAAUGUAAUAUAAGGGAUGUUGGGGAUGACUUGGAUGGAAAAAUGGCUCAGAAAUUGAACCGCACAAGACAUCAAACUCCUUAUCUUCAUCCUUGUACAUGAAACCAUUGGACCUUCGAUAGCAAGCAUCACAACUGAAGACUUCUAGCUCCUUGUUUGUAACUAAAGUGAGCCGUUCAUUGUGUAGUACAUGUCGUCUCCUUUUAGGACAUUCAGCACAUUUCUGAUGUAGAGAAAAAUUACAAUCCACACAGCCAUAAUAAGAUUGAAGACCGAUGGGAUGGGUGCAUGCGCUGCAUCGUUUGGUAUCCUCAUACAAAACACCAUUCUCAUUGAAUCUGAGGUAAUGCUCUUUGUGGCUGAAAUGUUGUAUUGUGUUGUCGUCUAUCACCACAUAUGGUUCUAUAUCUUCUUCUUCUUCAGGUACUCCUUCUAGUUCUUCCCCAUUCCACACAUCUUUUCUGGUAGCACAUUUAGAAUGAACGACAUAACCAGGACACCUCUUACAAGAAAACCCACCACAAGUCCAGUCCACCUUCUUGCGACAAACUCCGCAGACAGAAUUCAUAGCAGCAUCACCAAGAACCGAAGUACGAGAAACACGGUGAUCAUGCCGGUUGAUGUUAAUGACACGUGGAAGGCCAAGACAAUCUUGAUGGAUCAUGAAACCACAAUCAAAACAUGCGUAAGGGCUUCGAUCUCCCUUUAGACCGCAAGCAUUACAUGUAAAAGAAUCGAGUCUUGGAAGAAGGGUGAGUUGGUGAUCAUGCACUUUCGGAUCAACAAGAGAUUUUUGUGGUGGAAUAAGAACACAAUGGAAAUCCACAGUGAAGUUACAAGAUGAACAAUGAUAAAAAUAUUCACCAAUCUCUGUUCCGCAAAGACGACAUUUACCAUCAGAAUAGUCCGGUGGGGGAACUGUGAGGAGCUUAAGAGGAUGCAAGGAGUGGUAAGGGUGGUUUACCUCUGGUGAGUAAUUUAGCUUUGUUGCUGGGUUCCAUACACAAUCCACGUGGAAGGAUACAUCGCAUUCAUCACAUUUGUAAGGAAGUCCACCACUAGCCUUCCCGCAUUUAGCAGAACAGUCGAACUUAGUCCCUUUCUUGAGAAGUAUGAGCUUGUGGGGAUGGGUCUCAAAAUUGUCAAUAACAUUUGGUGGUUGUUGCUUGGCACAGUGUAGAUCCAAGUCGAAGUCACACAUGUCACAACGGUAGAAUAGCUUUGAGAUUUUCCAACGACAAAAGUCACAUCUGUUACUUGAUUCAUGUUGAAGCUCGAGAGUGUGCCCGGGGUGAGAUGGGUGGUCGAUGAAUUCAGAGAUCUCGUCGUUGCCACAUUUCUUGUGGACGAAAAAGACACAGAGUUUACAAAAGUAGCCGUCACUCUGUGAUUCAUAUCUCCCACAACAAUCACCUCUCCUCAGAUCAUUCCAAGGCAUCAUAGGAUGCUCGUGAAAUGGUAACCACACUCCCUCAGAUUCCAUUUGCUCUCUCUCUCUCUCGUAUACUAAAGAAGAUGAAGAAAGAGAAAGGGGUUGAAUACGUGUAUUAAGAAAAAGAAGAAGUCAUGAGGUUGAACAGUGUGGGCAUCUCUUUCUCUGGCCACUCAAACAUUAUCCCCUCUCAAGUUUCUUUGUUUUCAUAUUUCGAUAAAGAAAAGGUUCCCUAUGCUUAAGGUGGGGUUGUCCGCUUUGUUUUCUCUUUUACUUUUCUGGUUUUCUUUUUGCUUUUUCUCCAAAUGCGUAGUAUUGUCACUUAUCAGCUGCAUAACCGUAACGAAGAAAGAUGGUGGACGCUCAAGAAGCUAUAGUUCUGGCAGCAUUUGCCUCUUUCAGGAUAACCUUACAGAUUUUUUUCUCAUUAUAGUUGCAACUAUUUUGAUGACCAUGACCUAAGUUGAAGGUUAUGCAUCACUUUUGUUAUUUAGAUAGACGAUCAGCUGAGAAAUAAUUCUGGUUCAUUGUCGUCACUGUCUUUCUUGGAUGUAUCAUUAUAGAGACAUCGUUUCAGCUGUUUCAAAUAUUUCCAUGGAUAAUGAAGUCACAUUACGUACAUUGAUAAAAAGUAGAUUACAAACUUGUAUACUCGCUUCCGCUUGUCUAAUCAAAAUGCUUAUAAUCUUUUUCAACCUUAGUUACUAUUGCAGAUUACUCUUGAAAUUGUGAGAGAGGUUGAUUAUAGCAUGGACCCCAAAGAGAAGCUUGUUAAUUCAUCUCACAGAGCAAAUGUAUGUACCAGACCUUUAAGAUGAUAGCGUAUUGCAAUGGUAUGCCAAAAAUGGACGUGAUGUACCUCAAAUGGUAUGCCAAAAUACUUCAGCGUGUUCCCUGGCAUGAGCCACCUAGUGUCUCCGAGCACACACGUGUAGAACCAGUUCUUUGGAUUGGUAUCUUUCUUACCAAAUGUCACACCAGUAUUUGCCAUUUUCCUUUGAGAGCUUUACGUAUAUAGGUACUUUCGGCUUCCACUUUUACAGUUUAACAUACUUGUAGCUGGUGGUGUACUUUGUGUCUUACUUUUGAAUUAUUGUGACAAAAAUGCCCUUUACGAAAAGUCUCGUGACUAGUUGGUAGGUUUCUGGAGUCUUGUGCUUUUAUAGUGACAAUUGAAUUAGUGCAAAUUAAAUUUGAUCCGAUGGAUGUGUGUUUCGUGGUACAUAAGAAGUUUUUUUUAUUUUGUGUUUAACUGUAUAGUAAAUUUUUUUUAGUUAUGCAUAUUAACGUAAUGUAUGGUUGAUUUGGGAAUGAGUUGUUAUGUUAUAAUAGAAGGUGCAGUUAGUAAGAACAUACAUUUGUGGUCAAGAUCAUAGUAUAGGUAUGAUCAUUAAAAAAUUGUGGUCAUUUCUUUGAGAUUCAUAAUUUGUUUUUUAAUAACUUUUUGCUGACCAUUACAAUUCAAUAAUUGUGGUUAUGGAGAAAUUAUUUUAUAAGCAAGUAUGGUUAUAAAAUUUGGUUCAUUGGCUUAUUGAUGUGGUUAGGCAAGUGUGGUUAUAAGCUUUGGAUCUUUUUCUUUUCUUCCAGCUUUCUCACCUCUCGUUUUGAAUCUCACCGUCCAUUAAACAAAAAAAAUCAAAAUAUAGAGGAAGAAAAUCAUAAAUCCACCAUAUUUAUGAUUAAAAGGUAUAUGGCAUCACUAUUCUUCGCUUAACCUUUGGUUUCAUUAUCUUUCAUCUCGAUAUCUACGAGCAAGAAAAAAGUGAAGAAUAGAAGGUGACUCAGAUCUGACUCAACGACGCGGUGAGAGCGAGCGAACUUCACCUAUGAACGUUAAGCUUCCUUGAAAUCUAACGCUUCCACCGUCGAAGAAAACUUUGUCAUCAUCACUUCCAACUGAAUCGCCUCUUUAAAUAUUUUUUUAUUUUUUGGAUUCUUUUCUCGUGAAAUAAAAAUUUGUAUUGAAGAAUAAAAGGAAAAAAAAGAGAAAGGUAAAGCUUCACAAAGAGUUGGGUCACGAUAAAAGUAAGGGAAAUAGAAAGAUAAUUAAUUUCAGGGGUAAUUUAGACAAUAGCACGUACAAAAGUACUUGACAUGGGAAAAGUAUGCUAAAGUGAUAUAGAGUAGAGAUAAAGUAUGUCUAAGUGUAAAUUUUUCUUUUCCUUUUCUCCAUAGCAUAGUGAGAGAAUAUAAUCAUCAACCUAUGCUUUGCCUCCAUGGCUUAUUAAUAUUUAUUAAUACUAGAUCUUUUUUCCGCGCUACGCGCGGAUUAGUGCACUAAAAUAUUUUUAGAUAUUUUGUUUUAUAUUUGAUUUUUUUUUACAUUUCUUUUCUCUCGAAAUCAUAAAAGGUUUAAUAGAAAAAAACAAAAAAAAAUAAUAACUCAACAUAAUUUAUAGUGAUUUUUUGAAUUGGUGAAUUUUACUUUGUUCUUUAUUGUGUUUAUAUUAAACUGUAGAUAUUGCAGGUUUCUAGAUAUGAAAGAUGUUGCCUUGGCUCAUGUUUAAGCGUUAGGGACGCCAAUGACAGAUAAACAACAAUAAGAAAACUAUGUGUAGAUUAUUUCAAGAUUUGUGUAUUGCUGAUGCUGUGAUGCAUGAGUUCGAUCUUUAUCACCGUUCUUACUACUUUAUCAUCGUACAAAGUUCAUAAAGUCAAUCAAUUCAAAAUUUUUUUUCAAAAAAUCAAUCAAGAGUUUAACCAAAAAUUUAACACUGCUUGACUUUGUUGUAGAUAUAGAGCAGGUGAGAUGGAAGGAAUCAUUUAUAAAGUAUGUAAGAAGAAAGAGGAGAAUAUGGGAGAUGAGUUCAUUCCACUGAAAUAAAACCUUAGAGACACUACAUAUGAGAUUGAUUAGCCUCGAGGAAAUGUCUCGUAUGAGAAUAUGAUUAUGUUGAUAUAUGUAAUUAUAUUUUUAUUUAUUUAUUAGUAUUACUGGAUAUAUUUAAGUAAGAUGGCUGAUUGGAAUAUUUUGAUUGGUUACUUUUUGUUAAAUAUUUUGGCUUAUGUUGAAGGUCCUCUUUGAAAGAUGUUUUUAUCUUCUUCUUUUUGUUUUUAUGUGUCAUUUUUGUUGUUUUCUCAUGUUUUAAUUUUCCAUUUUAGAUUUUUAUUAGUAUGAAUAAUAAUUUAUUUUAAAGUAUAAUAGAUCAUUUUUUAUUAUUUGAUUAGUGUUUUUCUACUUAGUUAUAUCAAAAUUUUAGGAAAUUUUUUCUAAACUGCCACAUUCUAAAUACAACUUUUUAUGUUUAUCUUAACCAUAUUUCUCUCACUUUUAAAAAGAUAAAUAAAUACUUCUAAUAAUAUGGUUAAUUAAUCUAAAAUUAGGGUUUAGAUUUGAGGGAUAGUGUUUUGGAAAAUGGGUAUAUGAUUUUAAUAAAUAUAUAAAUAAAUACUUAAUAUUUAAAAAAUGAAAAUAGUUUCAAAAAAUUUCUAAUUUGAAAACAAAAUCGAAAAAAUAAAUUUUGACCAAAAAAGAAAAUUUGAAAAAAAUUAUAAGAAGUUUCAAUUUGAAAAUGUAUGAUUCAAAAAUUAUAAAUUUAUUAUUAAUUAUUUAAAUUUGAAUAAAAAGUUUCAAUUUUAUAUGUUUUUGUGUAUCUUAAUUUUUUAGUUUAACCAUAUUUUAUUUUACUAAAUUUCAUUGUUUUAUUAUUUCCUUUGUUAAAAUAACUAUAUACUAUUAAUUGUCUUCGUCUUAUUUUGUUUUCUUAUCUCUUACUUUUAUUCAAAAUAUAUAAAUACAUUAAUCUUUACACCUGGUGUUUUCAUAUUUUUAUAUUAAUUUUAGAUUAACACAGAAUUAAUAUUUUUGUAUAUGCAGUAUACAAUAUAUUAUUGUUUUUUGCUGUAACUUUACAAUAUAUUAUUGUUAAGUCCGCUUAGGUGAAGAAUCUGUGAUUGUGAUGCUUUUAUCGCUUUUUCACAGCUUUAAAAUUGUUGAUGAAGCACAGUUGUUGCUGUUUCAUUGAUUCCUUCGUUUUUUUCAACUACCUAUAUCUCUAGCUCAUCAUAUAAAUGUGCAGUUCCAGAUUCUAUGAGUGUGCAGCGCCUGCAAGUAUAUCCCCAAAUAUUUUUUAGAUUACAUGCAUUGAAGAUUUUUAUAUUUUAUUGUGAUUAAAGAAAACUGUUUACCAUGUUGCAUACUGAAAGCAAGAUGAGUAGUUUAAGAUAUGAGGUAAUGGUUUAGUACUAAAAGAUCUUCUUUGAGCUCAAAUACUAAGGAAAAAAAGGAAAUAAGGAGAAAAGAGUAACAGAGCACAUCCCCCAUAUAGGAGCUCCUAAAAUCACAUUUUUUGUUCUCUUUAUAAUUUGAGCAUCCUCACCUUCCACCUGAAAUUCAAAAUUUUCCACAGGCUAAGGAACUCACAUUCACAAUGUAAAGAUUUUGUUUAAAAAAAAGAAAGACUAUGUUUUUAGAAGAUCACAAACAUAUUUGCCUUUGUUUUUUUUUUUGCAAACAAUGAGACACUAAAAGAGAGAUAAGCUUGAGAAUCCAAGGCCUUGAUUGUUGUCGAAGAACCAAUAUAAUUUCUAACAAAAAGUCAAAUCUCAGAUGAAACUAACGACUAAUUCUGUCUGAAGAUCUGUUACAAUUUAGGAGAAUGUAAAACACAACUCCCACAAGGCAUAACUUUUUCUUGCAAAUUGUAACCAAAAAUUAUAGCAGCUUCUAACUAAAGAGAAAGUUUGUAACACAAAAGUUAACUUCUUCGAGUCAACCACAACAUUCAACGUCAUAUUUUAAACCAAAUCGUGUCUCCAACUACAUACUACUUAUGUACUGUACACACCCCAAAAAGAUCAUCCAUGUACUUGGCCUUUAUGGUUUUUGCUCUGUUUUUGAAUCUUUUGCAGCAACUUUUCCUUCAUUUGUUCAACAUAAGGAACAAACUAAACUUAUUACCAAAUCGUUAGCAAAAAAACCUUAAGGAAAUAAAAAAGAGAAUAAUAACCAACACUUUCCUGCAACUAAAGCGUGUUGCUGCCGUACGAAUAGAGGUGCGUCUUUUUGAAAGAAAAACAUCAUGUAGCACCUUUCCAUCAUUGAUACUACAUUUAUAUUGUGCAACCUAAAGGGAUGUUUUUCCUAACCCUGGCUUGAAAAACGUUUUUCCUUGAUCAAUCUAGCCAAUUCUCAAAGGGAUAUUACUCUUACCUAUAAUAUAAUCAAAUACAACAACUGAGUGAUUUCAUAUCUACAAAACAAAUUCUACUUGAUUCCAAUUCAGUCUUAAGAAUUCUGCGUUAACACCUUGAUCAAGGCUGGUUCUGGCCACAACUAUUCUCUGCUCUUAGCAUUUUAGCUUCAUUUGUUUCCUUAACAACAAUCUCCAUGGACUUUGAUCAAACUGUGCAUCGUAUCCACCUUCUGUUAGACAUAAGAAAACAAUAUUAGCAACAUUGCACAAAAACAAAUCUACUAAAACCAACUGAAAGAUCGACACAAACCUGUGCGUAGUAGUGAUUGUCACCGAACGUGUCAAGAUUCUUAUUGCAGGUGUCAACAAAGAAAAAAGAACCAGCCUUGUAAGGACCUAAAAAAACUGAUGCAGCAGAGAAUCUAGCAUACAACCCUUCUGCUAUGGAAACUACCUUGGACCAUACACUUGUUACUAUAGAAACAAACCAAAAAUCAUAUUUUAAAUCUAGAUAUUAGAAGAUGGAUAAAUAAAUUGAAGCUUUUAGGUAACCUUACAUACAAACAUUAAACAUAUAGAGAAUAUUGUAAAGAUUCUGAGAAUCAGUAAGCCAUCAAAUACAAAGAUUCUGACCGGGUUCGAGGUAUUGCCCUGAAGUUUCCAAUUGCUUCCGUACAAACGUAUCUGUAAAACAUGGCCAGAAAAUAUCAUAAGGUAUAUGGACGCAGACAUUAAAAAGAUGUGUCAAGAAUUUCAGACCUAUAUCAAGGAUAUGAUCAGGACCGGAGAGAUAAUGGCUACUACAAUGAUUUUGUUCUUUCACGUUGAGUAGGCUUGACUGUCUCGGGGGAGAGGAAGGCUUCUCAUGGGAUUAGGGUUAGACAGAACUAUGACUCCUAUAAAUACAAAAUAUGAGAAGAAACCGAACCAGUUUUGUGUGUGCGAUAAAUGCUUACGUUGGGAGGAGGAAGCUGAAGAAACUAAGAACGUGAACUGAUGAGAUGAUGUGGCUUGUGAUUAUAGUUAUUGAGAGUUGACAUGGCACAAACUCAUAUUCUAAGUGGCUGAUUUAAUUUGCUGAGGUGGAUAGGCUCAAUGGAGCUCAUAUCCCCCUUUUAGUAUAGUAUAGAUUAUGAUUGUUCAUUUCGCUCUACCUCUUCCCAUAUCAAACGUAAACAAGAGAGCACUCAACAGAGCAAAAGCAUAUAUCUGGGGACCCAAGCACCUUGAGGUAGAUAGGGUACAUGCAACGAGACUUGCACCGAAUGCAAAAUGGGCGAGUUACACUAUUAUUCAGCACCACCUCAUGCGGUAUGCCCAACAACUUUGGUACGCUUCUUGGCAUGAGUCCUGCAGUGUCUCCGAGCACACAUUUUGUAUGCAAACUAGCCAAGUGAUCUUUACACGUGUAGAACCAUUUCUUUGGAUCGGUUUCUCUCUCACAGAUGUCGCACCAGUAUUUACCACUUGCCUCUUCUUCUUCCACAUAGCAUAGUGAGAGAGGAUGAUCAUCUACUCUGUGCUUUACCACUUGUGGUAGAGUGGCACAUUUGAAGCAUAUUACAAAUCCACAAUCAUCUUCAAUGCACUUGAGUAGACGAUAUUCCUUAUUGUUGCAACCAUUGCAUAUUCCCGUCUCUUCAAUGGAAUUGUCAGAUAAUACGAAAGUGUAAUAUAAGGGAUGGUGGUGAUGACGUUCAAAUGGCUCAGAAACUGAACCGCACAAGACAUCCAACUUCGUAUACCGAUCCUUGUAUAUGAAUCCAUUGCACAUUCGACUGCAAGCAUAACAUCUGAAGGUAUCUAGCUCCUUGUUUGUAAAUAAAGUGAGCCGUUCAUUGUGUAACACAUGCCUUUUCUUUUAGGACAUUUAGCACAGCACUGAUGGAGAGAAAAAUCACAAUCCAUACAUCCAUAAAAGGAUUGGAGACCAAUGGGAUGGGUGCAUGCGCUGCAUCGUUUGGUAUCCUCAUACAAAACACCAUUCUCAUUGAAUCUGAGGUAAUGCUCUUUGUGGCUGAAAUGUUGUAUUGUGUUGUCGUCUAUCACCACAUAUGGUUCUAUAUCUUCUUCUUCUUCAGGUACUCCUUCAAGCUCUUUCAUGUUCCAAACAUCAUAUCUGGUAGCACAUUUAGAAUGAACAACAUAGUUAGGGCACGUCUGACAAGAAAAUCCUCCACAAGUCCAGUCCACCUUCUUGUGACAAACUUCGCAUACAGAAUUCAUAGCACCAUCACCAAGAAGCAAAGUACGAGAAACACGGUGAUCAUGUCGAUUGAUGUUAAUGACACGAGGAAGACCAAGACAGCCUUGAUGGAUCAUGAAAUCACAUUGAACACACAUGUAAGGGCUUCGAUCUCCCUUGAGCCCACAAGCAUUACAUGUGAAUGAAAGCAGUCUUGGAAGAAGCUUGAGUUGGUGAUCAUGAGCUUUCAAGUUCAAAAGAGAUUGUGGUGGCGGAUUCACAACACAACGCCAAUCCAAGGUGAAGUUACAAGAAGAACAAUGAUAAAACAAUUCUUUAUCAACCUUUCUUCCGCAAAGACGACAUUUACCAUCAGAAUAGUCAGGUGGUGGACCCUUGAAUAGCUUAAGAGGAUGCAAGGAGUGAUAAGGGUGGUUUACCUCUGUUGAGUGCUCUAGUGCUGCUGGGUGCCAUACACAUUCCACAUGAAAGGCUACAGCAUCACAUUCAUUACAUUGGUAAUAAAAUCCACAAGAAAAUCCUGCAGCAUAUGCAGAAGUCUUCCCGCAUUUUGCAGAACAGUGGAAGGCGCUCAGUUCCUUGACAAAUGUGAGCUUGUGGGGAUGCAUCUCAAAAUUUUCAAUAAUAUCUGGUGGUGGGUACUUGGCACAGUGUAGAUCCAUGUGGAAGUCACACAUCUCGCAACGAUAGGAUAGAUUUUGGAUUUUACUAUCACAUAUAUAGCAUACGUGAUCUUCUCGUUUUUCUUGAAGCCGGAGAGUGUGAUCGGGGUGAGAUGGGUGGUCGCUGAUGAAUUCAGACAGCUCGUCGCCACACUUCUUGUGCACGAAGAAAUCACAGAGUUUACAAUAGUAGCCAUCACUCUGAGGUUCAAAGCAAUCACAGCAAUCGCCUUUCCUCAUAUGAUGAUCAUUCCAAGGCGUCAUAGGAUGCUCGUGAAACAAUGGUAACAACACUCCUCCCUCAGAUUCCAUUUUGCUCUCUAGUAUACUAAAGAAGAUGAAGAAGAAGAAGGAAAGAUUGAAUAAUGGAGAUAGAUCUCUUGAAUAAUGGUGUGGUGUGUUUUCUCAAAGCUAUAUCUCUUUCUCUGGCCACUCAAACAUUAUCCCCUCUCAAGUUUCUUUGUUUUCAUAUUUCGAUAAAGAAAAGGUUCCCUAUGCUUAAGGUGGGGUUGUCAGCUUUGUUUUCUCUUUUACUUUUCUGGUUUUCUUUUGCUUUUUCUCCAAAUGCGUAGUAUUGUCACUUAUCAGCUGCAUAACCGUAACGAAGAAAGAUGGUGGACGCUCAAGAAGCUAUAGUUCUGGCAGCAUUUGCCUCUUUCAGGAUAGCCUUACAGAUUUUUUUCUCAUUAUAGUUGCAACUAUUUUGAUGACCAUGACCUAAGUUGAAGGUUAUGCAUCACUUUUGUUAUUUAGAUAGACGAUCAGCUGAGAAAUAAUUCUGGUUCAUUGUCGUCACUGUCUUUCUUGGAUGUAUCAUUAUAGAGACAUCGUUUCAGCUGUUUAAAAUCUUUCCUCGAGCAUGUUCUGAUUCAUUGAGUCCAGAGUUUCAAACCCGGGAUAAUAUAUGAAACAUAUCAAUCAGACUUUUUUUUAUAACAAACCUUUACCAAGCAUUUUACAUGUAAGACUGAGGGUUACUGUGCUCUUCGUUCUCAAGGGAAGAUAUUGCAGAAAACGUAGAGCUGAAAACAUUAGGAGAAACAAUAGUCUUGGAAGGAAAAACAGUCUCCAUUGAUAAAAAGUAGAUGAACACGGUGAUUGAUGUUAAUGACCCGUGGAAGGCCAAGACAGUCUUGAUGAAUCAUGAAACCACAUGGAACACAUAUGUAAGGCUUUGAUCUCCCUUGAGGCCACAAGCAUUACAUGUAAAAAAAAAAUCGAGUCUUGGAAGAAGAGUGAGCUGGUGAUCAUGAGUGGGGGGUUCAAAACAAUUCUAAGGCAAAGACGACAUGUUCCAUCAAAACACAGGCAUAUCCAAGGUGAAGUUACAAGAAUAACAAUGAUAAAAACAAUUCUUUAUCAAUCUCUCUUGUGUUUGGAGUUUGAUUUGGCUUUGAUGGCGACGAGGAACCGAACGACGGUGUACAGGAAACACAGAGACGCGUGCUCCUCUGUCUGAUUCGUUCGGUGGUCCGGUGAUCGAAAUGGUUAGUGUUUGAUCCAAAAAUGGUGUUUAUCUUUGUGAUGUUUGUUGGAAUCAAUCAAAUAAAGAAUCUAAAGAUAAAAGCUUAGAUUCUUGAGGUUUAGGAGAAAUCUUAAAAGAAUCAAAUGAGAAAUGAACAUCAAAAGAGUUUAUUGAUUUAAGAUUGUAUUACAUGUAGGAUUACAAGUGUAAAUAAAUCUAAUAAUUCAUAAACCCUUUGUAAGAAGUGUUCUAAGUCUAAAAUGAAGAAGAAGACCCCCCGUCAUAAGGAGAUAAUUCCUUAUUUAUAGAAGAAAGAUGACUAGAGUUUCAUAGUAAAAUGGGUCUAAUUUAUUGUCUAAUGGGCCUUGAGGUAGAAUGUAAAUCUACCCCCAACAAUAAGUCCCCCCAAGUUCGUAGAGAGAGAUGAAGUCGAUCUCUGUGAAUUUUACGAAUAGGGUUUAUUAGACAAUAAACUAGACACAUUCAUGCCUAUGAUGGUUUAGGCGAGUUUACUUCGAACUUGUGCCUAGUAAAAGGCAAGUUUGCUUUAAACUCGUGCUUAGUGAAAGACGAGUUUACUUGACUCAUGCUGAGACAGAGGCGAAUUUACUGAGAACUCGUGCCUAGUAGUAGGAGAGUUUCUGUAAACUCAUGCCUUGUCAAAGAUGAGUUUUUGUAAACUCGUGUCUAACAAUAAGUGAGUCUAAUGCAAAUUUGUGCCUAAUAUAAAGCAAGUUGAAUUUAAACUCGUGCCUAGUAAAAAUAAGUUUACCGAACUUUGCCGACCCGAAGUCUCGUGUUGAGAUCGUGUGUGCCGAGCAAGUUAUUGGCUUGUGUGUUCGUCAGGCAUGAUGACGUAAGAAAGCGCCGGCUUGUGCUGAUUCAGACAAGUUUGUAGCUGAGAGAUCGCCAUUCCAAGCAUGAGGACAUGACAGUAGCACUCACUUGUUGAUUCUCUUUGGCUCAACGAUCUAAUCAACUCUGGUUCACAACAAAAAGCAUGAUCAGAUCAAGGUUAACCAAAAGAACCAGCCAAGUUUUGUAUAAUUGAUAAGCAAGCGAUAGUUUAACUUGUGUUAAUGCUCGGCUAUUGCAUAUGAUGUUAGUAAUUUAUCAAUUACUAAUCAUUAUGCACAGGUUGCAAACAACAAAUCAAUCAACCGUAAUUAUCUCAUAAAGGUUAUAAGAUACUUAUCUUUGAGGAUGAGCCUUGUUUGUAACUUGACAAAGAAGUUAUUGUGGACGUGAUGACAUUUUGUGCUGACGAUCUCAAUGGAUCGCUCUUAUCAGAGCUGAGAUGACGGUGAACUCAAAGCUGAUGACUUUAUCUUUGUUCCUCACUGUUGAGAGCUCGUUUCCUUUUGCAACCUCUUCUUCGUAUUUUUUUUUUGAGAUGACAAACUCGUAUGCCGGUUCAUGUUCAAAGCGGAGGUUAAGCAUGAAGCGUCGAGAGAGUACCACAGGCCUAGUGAGGAAGAUAACUUAGGAGUGUGCAUGAGCUUGAGCCUCUUGAUCCUUGAACUUGAGCUCGAGCUUCUUGAUGGCUGACGUGCGUGCAUGACCUUUAGCCUCGUGACCGUCGAGCAAGUGAUGGAGCUUUAGGCCCGCAAGAAGCUUCGUUGAUGGAGCUUUGAAGACGUCAUGGUGAUGAAGCCAUAAGAAACCGGGUGCCGAGAUCACAUGAUCACCUCUGUUUCUCGGCGGUGUACCGGACGAGCUUGAACUUACAUUGUUGUUUGGCGUUGACUUGUGCCUAGUAAAUCACAUGACUGUUGCUCGGCGUUAACCCGCACGAUCUCAAGGCUUCUGUCGCAACAAGAGCAGUCAUCGACGAGGUGAGACGAGAUGGACCUUGAACGGAGGCACGCAAACGAGGCCUUGAAGAGCUUGCGGUAAUGACGUGCUUGUCUAGAGAGCUUUCUUGAAGAAGCAAGACCUUGUUGGAGAGGUUGUCAUCGACAUGAUCAUAACCAAUUGAACCUUCUCCUCGUCAUGAAGGAGCUCUCCUCCUAUUCUCACGCUCAUGCCAAGGUUAAAGCCUUUGUCGGGUAGAAAGAUGCGACCGAUUCCCUUUGCUGUGUGAAAGCAAAGGCCAGAGCUGUCCUUGGGCUUCUUGGGAUACAGCGAUCUCGGGAUGAAGAAGAGACAGCACUUGCUACAGCGGUCUCGUCUUAAAGAUGAGGCAAGAACUUCCUGUCACUCGGUUUCGUCUUUAACGAAGACGAGGAGCUUGUACUAUCCCGUCAGUGUGGCGAGCUUGUGUGAUGCAGUGAUCAAGCUCGUUUAUCAGACGAGAGCCAGAAAUGAGCAGGGUCUGUAAGCUUCCGAGCUGACUGGUAUGGCCUAGCCCUUAGUUCACCGUGAAAUUACGCUCCAUUCUAUUAAACAAAGACAUUAGAAGUUGAAAAUAAUUCGUAAGAAACUAUUUAAUAAUGCUUUGGAGAGUUAUGCAAGGUAGCUUGUCAAUUAUCUAUGGGAACAAUCGUUCAAAGUAUACAAUAAUUUAUAACAUUGACUCAGCGAAUGAAUAAUUGAUAAAUAAUUAAUCAAGAAUCCACGACUUGCACAAAGUGUGAAGUAUUAUUUAGUGGUAAUGGAUAAUUGACCAAAUAUUGAAAAGGAGACUUAUCUUUUUUUUUUUGUGUAGGCAAUUUUGAUGGAGAUAUCUUGUGCCAGUCUGGAGGGAUUUCGAACAGGAAGGUAUCUUGUAGUUACCAGGUCCACAAGUGAGUAGAUUCCCUGGUUUAAUCCAUUUAUGAGAUGCAUCUCCCCAUUUCACUUCUUCUAGAGCUACCCAACCUAACCCUUGUACGAAUGCUCCUUCUAUCUGCAAAACAUGUUCAGGUUUCAGACACAAACGCAACACUCUUGUCUUAAUGAUUUCAAGUGGUUUUGUUUCAAGUACUUGUCCAAUAUCUAUGGCUGGGUUAAGAGAAUAUCCCAGGUCCAACUUUAUAUCGACCGUUUUUGUGUGAAAGUCACCGGUUAAUGUAUCGAUCUCAACUUCCGCAAAUGCAGCUCCGUAGGUGUAAUAUCUGAAUGGGUUUCCUUUACCGGAGAUCCAGUCAAAGCCAACAUCGGGAACAAUGUAAAAGCCAUGAGCAGAGAGGUCUAUUCGUUGAAAAUAGCAUGCACUUGCCAGCUACAUACCAAUCAAAACAAAGCAGGUUAAGAGAGUUUUAUUCAUCAAAAGGCAAAGAAUGUUUCAUUGAGUUACCUCAGCCAAGGAGUUGCCACUGAGCUUAGUGGCAAGAGGCUCCAUUCGUGCUUUAAUCUGCUCACACCGUACAUGUCAGAGCUCAGAGAAGCAGCGGUUGGUGACGCAUUUGGAACAUAGUUACAUCUUAUUUCUUAACACUUUAUAUUAUAAAUAUUACCUUGUCGGUGCUCGUCUCUGAUACAAAAACGGAACUAAGGGGAAUGUUAAAGGCAUAAGCAGCAACUUGAGAAACCUUUGUAUGCAAUCCUUGACCCAUCUCUACACCUCUAUGUGUCACCAAAACAGUACCGUCUGUGUACACAUACACAAGAGCACCUGCCUAACACCCAAAAAUUAAAAUGGAUAUAAGUAACAAAAACUCUGUUUCUUGCUUCUCAAGAAAUAGUAUUGCAAGAUAGACUUACCUGGUUCAUGAACGUUUUGGUAAAUGAUACGCCAAACUUUGUGGGAACCAUAGCCACACCACGCUUUUUCCACCGGUUGUGGCUAUUAAACUCGUCGACAUCUCUACGAGCCUUUAGAAAGUUGCAAGACACUUUCAGCUCCUUCCAGAGCUGAUGCAGUGUGCAAUGCUGAAUACACUGAGAGUAAUGUGUGAUAGAGCCUUCCACUUGAAAGUUCAUCUCCUAAAGUAACACCCAAGAAAGCAUCAAAACAUGAGAAAUAAUUCCUAUGAACUUUCAGGAACAUUAUGAUUUCUUCAGGGCUUCUAUUAAGUUCAGCUGCGAUUCUCUGGAUCCAGUUUUCGGUUAUAAGCAUGCCUUGCGGACCUCCAAAGCCUCGGAAAGCAGUGUUGCUAGGAUAGUUAGUAAAGCAAACGUUCCUCUGAUCCUCACAUGUGGAUCUCAUAGACAUUAUCAGAGUUAAACAUUGCAANNNNNNNNNNNNNNNNNNNNNNNNNNNNNNNNNNNNNNNNNNNNNNNNNNNNNNNNNNNNNNNNNNNNNNNNNNNNNNNNNNNNNNNNNNNNNNNNNNNNCACUUGAGUAGACGAUAUUCCUUAUUGUUGCAACCAUUGCAUAUUCCCCCGUCUCUUCAAUGGAAUUGUCAGAUAAUACGAAAGUGGUAAUAUAAGGGAUGGGGGUGAUGACGUUCAAAUGGGCUCAGAAACUGAACCGCACAAGACAUCCAACUUCGUAUACCGAUCCUUGUAUAUGAAUCCAUUGCACAUUCGACUGCAAGCAUAAAUCCGAAGGUAUCUAGCUCCUUGUUUGUAAAUAAGUGAGCCGUUCAUUGUGUAACACAUGCCUUUUCUUUUUAGGACAUUUAGCACAGCACUGAUGGAGAGAAAAAUCACAAUCCAACAUCCAUAAAAGGAUUGGAGACCAAUGGGAUGGGUGCAUGCGCUGCAUCGUUUUGGUAUCCCCUCAUACAAAACACCAUUCUCAUUGAAUCUGAGUAAUGCUCUUUGUGGCUGAAAUGUUGUAUUGUGUUGUCGUCUAUCACCACAUAUGGUUCUAUAUCUUCUUCUUCUUCAGGUACUCCUUCAAGCUCUUCAUGUUCCAAACAUCAUAUCUGGUAGCACAUUUAGAAUGAACAACAUAGUUAGGGCACGUCUGACAAGAAAUCCUCCACAAGUCCAGUCCCCUUCUUGUGACAAACUUCGCAUACGAGAAUUCAUAGCACCAUCACCAAGAAGCAAAGUACGAGAAACACGGUGAUCAUGUCGAUUGAUGUUAAUGACACGAGGAAGACCAAGACAGCCUUGAUGGAUCAUGAAAUCACAUUGAACACACAUGUAAGGGCUUCGAUCUCCCUUGAGCCCACAAGCAUUACAUGUGAAUGAAAGCAUCUUGGAAGAAGCUUGAGUUGGUGAUCAUGAGCUUUCAAGUUCAAAAGAGAUUGUGGUGGCGGAUUCACAACACAACGCCAAUCAAGGUGAAGUUACAAGAAAAAAAUGAUAAAACAAUUCUUUAUCAACCUUUCUUCCGCAAAGACGACAUUUACCAUCAGAAUAGUCAGGUGGUGGACCCUUGAAUAGCUUAAGAGGAUGCAAGAGUGAUAAGGGUGGUUUACCUCUGUUGAGUGCUCUAGUGCUGCUGGGUGCCAUACACAUUCCACAUGAAAGGCUACAGCAUCACAUUCAUUACAUUGGUAAUAAAAUCCACAAGAAAUCCUGCAGCAUAUGCAGAAGUCUUCCCGCAUUUUGCAGAACAGUGGAAGGCGCUCAGUUCCUUGACAAAUGUGAGCUUGUGGGGAUGCAUCUCAAAAUUUUCAAUAAUAUCUGGUGGUGGGUACUUGGCACAGUGUAGAUCCAUGUGGAAGUCACACAUCUCGCAACGAUAGGAUAGAUUUUGGAUUUUACUAUCACAUAUAUAGCAUACGUGAUCUUCUCGUUUUUCUUGAAGCCGGAGAGUGUGAUCGGGGUGAGAUGGGUGGUCGCUGAUGAAUUCAGACAGCUCGUCGCCACACUUCUUGUGCACGAAGAAAUCACAGAGUUUACAAUAGUAGCCAUCACUCUGAGGUUCAAAGCAAUCACAGCAAUCGCCUUUCCUCAUAUGAUGAUCAUUCCAAGGCGUCAUAGGAUGCUCGUGAAACAAUGGUAACAACACUCCUCCCUCAGAUUCCAUUUUGCUCUCUAGUAUACUAAAGAAGAUGAAGAAGAAGAAGGAAAGAUUGAAUAAGGGAGAUAGAUUCCUUGAAUAAUGGUGUGGUGUGUUUUCUCAAAGCUAUAUCUCUUCUCUCUGGCCACUCAAACUUAUCCCCUCUCAAGUUUCUUCUUUGUUUUCAUAUUUCGAUAAAGAAAAGGUUCCCUAUGCUUAAGUGGGGUUGUCAGCUUUGUUUUCUCUUUUACUUUUCUGGUUUUCUUUUUGCUUUUUCUCCAAAUGCGUAGUAUUGUCACUUAUCAGCUGCAUAACCGUAACGAAGAAAGAUGGUGGACGCUCAAGAAGCUAUAGUUCUGGCAGCAUUUGCCUCUUUCAGGAUAGCCUUGAUUUUUUUUCAUUAUAGUUGCAACUAUUUUGAUGACCAUGACCUAAGUUGAAGGUUAUGCAUCACUUUUGUUAUUUAGAUAGACGAUCAGCUGAGAAAUAAUUCUGGUUCAUUGUCGUCACUGUCUUUCUUGGAUAUAUCAUUAUAGAGACAUCGUUUCAGCUGUUUAAAAUCUUUCCUCGAGCAUGUUCUGAUUCAUUGAGUCCAGAGUUUCAAACCCGGGAUAAUAUAUGAAACAUAUCAAUCAGACUUUUUUUUAUAACAAACCUUUACCAAGCAUUUUACAUGUAAGACUGAGGGUUACUGUGCUCUUCGUUCUCAAGGGAAGAUAUUGCAGAAAACGUAGAGCUGAAAACAUUAGGAGAAACAAUAGUCUUGGAAGGAAAAACAGUCUCCAUUGAUAAAAAGUAGAUGAACACGGUGAUUGAUGUUAAUGACCCGUGGAAGGCCAAGACAGUCUUGAUGAAUCAUGAAACCACAUGGAACACAUAUGUAAGGGCUUUGAUCUCCCUUGAGGCCACAAGCAUUACAUGUAAAAAAAAAUCGAGUCUUGGAAGAAGAGUGAGCUGGUGAUCAUGAGUGGGGGGGUUCAAAACAAUUCUAAGGCAAAGACGACAUGUUCCAUCAAACACAAGGCAUAUCCAAGGUGAAGUUACAAGAAUAACAAUGAUAAAACAAUUCUUUAUCAAUCUCUCUUGUGUUUGGAGUUUGAUUUGGCUUUGAUGGCGACGAGGAACCGAACGACGGUGUACAGGAAACACAGAGACGCGUGCUCCUCUGUCUGAUUCGUUCGGUGGUCCGGUGAUCGAAAAUGGUUAGUGUUUGAUCCAAAAAUGGUGUUUAUCUUUGUGAUGUUUGUUGGAAUCAAUCAAAUAAAGAAUCUAAAGAUAAAAGCUUAGAUUCUUGAGGUUUAGGAGAAAUCUUAAAAGAAUCAAAUGAGAAAUGAACAUCAAAAGAGUUUAUUGAUUUAAGAUUGUAUUACAUGUAGGAUUACAAGUGUAAAUAAAUCUAAUAAUUCAUAAACCCUUUGUAAGAAGUGUUCUAAGUCUAAAAUGAAGAAGACCCCCCGUCUAAUAAGGAGAUAAUUCCUUAUUUAUAGAAGAAAGAUGACUAGAGUUUCAUAGUAAAAUGGGUCUAAUUUAUUGUCUAAUGGGCCUUGAGGUAGAAUGUAAAUCUACCCCCAACAAUAAGUCCCCCCAAGUUCGUAGAGAGAGAUGAAGUCGAUCUCUGUGAAUUUUACGAAUAGGGUUUAUUAGACAUAAACUAGACAAUUCAUGCCUAUGAUGGUUUAGGCGAGUUUACUUCGAACUUGUGCCUAGUAAAAGGCAAGUUUGCUUUAAACUCGUGCUUAGUGAAAGACGAGUUUACUUGACUCAUGCUGAGACAGAGGCGAAUUUACUGAGAACUCGUGCCUAGUAGUAGGAGAGUUUCUGUAAACUCAUGCCUUGUCAAAGAUGAGUUUUUGUAACUCGUGUCUAACAAUAAGUGAGUCUAAUGCAAUUUGUGCCUAAUAUAAAGCAAGUUGAAUUUAAACUCGUGCCUAGUAAAAAUAAGUUUACCGAACUUUGCCGACCCGAAGUCUCGUGUUGAGAUCGUGUGUGCCGAGCAAGUUAUUGGCUUGUGUGUUCGUCAGGCAUGAUGACGUAAGAAAGCGCCGGCUUGUGCUGAUUCAGACAAGUUUGUAGCUGAGAGAUCGCCAUUCCAAGCAUGAGGACAUGACAGUAGCACUCACUUGUUGAUUCUCUUUGGCUCAACGAUCUAAUCAACUCUGGUUCACAACAAAAAGCAUGAUCAGAUCAAGGUUAACCAAAAGAACCAGCCAAGUUUUGUAUAAUUGAUAAGCAAGCGAUAGUUUAACUUGUGUUAAUGCUCGGCUAUUGCAUAUGAUGUUAGUAAUUUAUCAAUUACUAAUCAUUAUGCACAGGUUGCAAACAACAAAUCAAUCAACCGUAAUUAUCUCAUAAAGGUUAUAAGAUACUUAUCUUUGAGGAUGAGCCUUGUUUGUAACUUGACAAAGAAGUUAUUGUGGACGUGAUGACAUUUUGUGCUGACGAUCUCAAUGGAUCGCUCUUAUCAGAGCUGAGAUGACGGUGAACUCAAAGCUGAUGACUUUAUCUUUGUUCCUCACUGUUGAGAGCUCGUUUCCUUUUGCAACCUCUUCUUCGUAUUUUUUUUUUUGAGAUGACAAACUCGUAUGCCGUUCAUGUUCAAAGCGGAGGUUAAGCAUGAAGCGUCGAGAGAGUACCACAGGCCUAGUGAGGAAGAUAACUUAGGGAGUGUGCAUGAGCUUGAGCCUCUUGAUCCUUGAACUUGAGCUCGAGCUUCUUGAUGGCUGACGUGCGUGCAUGACCUUUAGCCUCGUGACCGUCGAGCAAGUGAUGGAGCUUUAGGCCCGCAAGAAGCUUCGUUGAUGGAGCUUUGAAGACGUCAUGGUGAUGAAGCCAUAAGAAACCGGGUGCCGAGAUCACAUGAUCACCUCUGUUUCUCGGCGGUGUACCGGACGAGCUUGAACUUACAUUGUUGUUUGGCGUUGACUUGUGCCUAGUAAAUCACAUGACUGUUGCUCGGCGUUAACCCGCACGAUCUCAAGGCUUCUGUCGCAACAAGAGCAGUCAUCGACGAGGUGAGACGAGAUGGACCUUGAACGGAGGCACGCAAACGAGGCCUUGAAGAGCUUGCCGGUAAUGACGUGCUUGUCUAGAGAGCUUUCUUGAAGAAGCAAGACCUUGUUGGAGAGGUUGUCAUCGACAUGAUCAUAACCAAUUGAACCUUCUCCUCGUCAUGAAGGAGCUCUCCUCCUAUUCUCACGCUCAUGCCAAGGUUAAAGCCUUGUCGGGUAGAAAGAUGCGACCGAUUCCCUUGCUGUGUGAAAGCAAAGGCCAGAGCUGUCCUUGGGCUUCUUGGGAUACAGCGAUCUCGGGAUGAAGAAGAGACAGCACUUGCUACACGGUCUCGUCUUAAAGAUGAGGCAAGAACUUCCUGUCACUCGGUUUCGUCUUUAACGAAGACGAGGAGCUUGUACUAUCCCGUCAGUGGGCGAGCUUGUGUGAUGCAGUGAUCAAGCUCGUUUAUCAGACGAGAGCCAGAAAUGAGCAGGGUCUGUAAGCUUCCGAGCUGACUGGUAUGGCCUAGCCCUAGUUCACCGUAAAUUACGCUCCAUUCUAUUAAAACAAAGACAUUAGAAGUUGAAAUAAUUCGUAAGAAACUAUUUAAUAAUGCUUUGGAGAGUUAUGCAAGGUAGCUUGUCAAUUAUCUAUGGGAACAAUCGUUCAAAGUAUACAAUAAUUUAUAACAUUGACUCAGCGAAUGAAUAAUUGAUAAAUAAUUAAUCAAGAAUCCACGACUUGCACAAAGUGUGAAGUAUUAUUUAGUGGUAAUGGAUAAUUGACCAAAAUAUUGAAAAGGAGACUUAUCUUUUUUUUUUGUGUAGGCAAUUUUGAUGGAGAUAUCUUGUGCCAGUCUGGAGGGAUUUCGAACAGAAGGUAUCUUGUAGUUACCAGGUCCACAAGUGAGUAGAUUCCCUGGUUUAAUCCAUUUAUGAGAUGCAUCUCCCCAUUUCACUUCUUCUAGAGCUACCCAUCCUAACCCUUGUACGAAUGCUCCUUCUAUCUGCAAAACAUGUUCAGGUUUCAGACACAAACGCAACACUCUUGUCUUAAUGAUUUCAAGUGGUUUUGUUUCAAGUACUUGUCCAAUAUCUAUGGCUGGGUUAAGAGAAUAUCCCAGGUCCAACUUUAUAUCGACCGUUUUUGUGUGAAAGUCACCGGUUAAUGUAUCGAUCUCAACUUCCGCAAAUGCAGCUCCGUAGGUGUAAUAUCUGAAUGGGUUUCCUUUACCGGAGAUCCAGUCAAAGCCAAUCGGGAACAAUGUAAAAGCCAUGAGCAGAGAGGUCUAUUCGUUGAAAAUAGCAUGCACUUGCCAGCUACAUACCAAUCAAAACAAAGCAGGUUAAGAGAGUUUUAUUCAUCAAAAGGCAAAGAAUGUUUCAUUGAGUUACCUCAGCAAAGGAGUUGCCACUGAGCUUAGUGGCAAGAGGCUCCAUUCGUGCUUUAAUCUGCUCACAAGCGUCCAAAAACCGCACACCGUACAUGCAGAGCUCAGAGAACAGCGGUUGGUGACGCAUUUGGAACCUAUCAAAAUAUAGAGCAACGAACAGUUUUGUGCCUGAAACAUAGUUACAUAUUAUUUCUUAACACUUUAUAUUAUAAUAUUACCUUGUCGGUGCUCGUUCUGAUACAAAAACGGAACUAAGGGGAAUGUUAAAGGCAAAAGCAGCAACUUGGGCAACCUUCGUAUGCAAUCCUUGACCCAUCUCUACACCUCCAUGUGUCACCAAAACAGUGCCGUCUGUGUACACAUGAACAAGAGCACCUGCCUAACACCCAAAAUAAAAAUGGAUAAGUAACAAAAACUCUCUGUUUCUUGCUUCGCAAGAAAUGGUAGUGCAAAGUGGACUGUUUCUUACCUGGUUCAUGAACUUUUUGGUAAAUGAAACGCCAACUUUGUAGGAACCAUAGCCACACCACGCUUUUUCCACCGGUUGUGGCUAUUAAAAUCGUCGACUUCUCUACGAGCCUUUAGAAAGUUGCAAGACACUUUCAGCUCCUUCCAGAGCUGAUGCAGUGUGCAAUGCGAAUACACUGAGAGUAAUGUGUGAUAGAGCCUUCCACUUGAAAGUUCAUCUCCUAAAUUGACACGCAAGAAAACAUCAAAACAUGAAAAAAAUUCUAUGAACUUUCAGGAACAUUAUGAUUUCUUCAACUCACUUUGAUUUCUUCAGGGCUUCUAUCCAGUUCAGCUGCGAUUCUCUGGACCAGUUUUCGGUUAUAAGCAUGCCUUGCGGACCUCCAAAGCCUCGGAAAGCAGUGUUGCUAGGAUAGUUAGUAAAGCAAACGUUCCCUCUGAUCCUCACAUGUGGGAUCUCAUAGACAGUAUCAGAGUUAAACAUGGCAAUCUCAAGAACAGCUUGGGAAAGAUCCAAAGAGUUUCCACCAUUGUUGUAGACUUCAAGGUCAUACGCCAAUACUUUCCACCAUUAGUAAACCCAACCUGUAAAUAGUAUCGGAAUAACAAUUAAUAAGAAAACGCUUUAUCUAAUAACCACAGAGGAUGAUGAUACCUCGUUGCCACCAUCACUUGUCCAGACCAAACUACCAUGGGCUCCAUGUAAAAGUGUUCCUGGCUGCCCAUUUGAACCUCUCCAUUUAUUAUCCUAUCUCACUGACCUGACUGAAAGCAUAGCUCUACAUCUCCUUUCCUUAGCAUUUUCUCUGUGUUUGGGUGGAAACUUUUAGCAGCAAUAGCCUCCUUGAUUGAUAAUAUUGCUGGUAAUAGCAUUUUCAUGUGUAUCCGCAACAAACCACACCAAUGACCUGAAAAAAUCCAGACACAGUUUAGCGAUAAUCUAAGAAAUAAAAAGUUUCAUUCAAGUCUUCUACUUGUCCCACACAUGUGACCACAUCUGUAGCAAAUAAUUCUUCAUCAGCUACCACAGGUCCAGUCUUAUUAUCUGCUGGACCGUAUUUGGCAAGAAACAUACCAGCAAAACCACGUGAAGAUUUGGAGGCACUGGGGCAUCAGUAUAUUUCUGCUUCCCCUGUGACCUACAUGAAAGUUCAAGAGUGUUGAGAGUUGAGACAUUGUGUUAUGCUUUGAUUUCACGAUUUCCUUCUAUAAUAGUUUACUGAAAAAUGCUUUGAUAAGCAAUCAUUUUCUACCCAAGAGAAGAGAGAUACAUCUUUCUUCCAUGUUUGAAUAGGCAGAGAUAACACAAAGAAUGGUGAUAACAACACUCGGUUACACUAUGAUUCACAGCGAUUGUUCUUUAAAUCCUCAAGAAUCUGUUACCUAUAAAUUUAUAAGAAAACAGCUCACCUUUUUAAAAUAAAAUAAAAUAAGUUCGAUAGAGAUCAUCAAAUUCAUAAUGGAAGUGAACUUGUCCAAGGAAGAAUAUAAGAAACUUGAACGAAUAAAACAUCUUUCCUCAUCAACGAAACCAAUAUGUGCAAGAAACGGAGCAAAGGUAUGUCUCUGAGGUUCUUCCAAGCAACUUGAAGUAGAUAGGGUACUUGCAACGAUCCUUACACCGCCCCUUGCAAAACGGACGAGUUACACUAUCAUUGAGCCCCACCUGACACGAUUUGCCCCAAAUCUUUGCUAAACUUCUUGGCAUGAGCCCUGUCGAGUCUCCGAGCACACAACUUGUAUGCAAACUAGCCCGCUGAUCUUUACAAGUGUAGAACCAUUCCUUUGAAUCGGUUUCUUUCUCGCAGAUGUCACACCAAUAUUUACCACUUGCCUCCUCUUCUUCGCCAUAGCACAGUGAGAGAGGAUGAUCGUCUACUCUAUUCUUCACCACUUGUGGUAGAGUGGCGCAUUUGAAUCCCAAUGCAAAUCCACAAUCACCUUCAAUGCACCUGAGGACAUGUGAUUCCUUCUGUUGCAACCAUUGCAUAUUUCUACUUCUUCUGUUGGAAUGUAAUAUAAGGGAUGUUGGGGAUGACUUGGAUGGAAAAAUGGCUCAGAAAUUGAACCGCACAAGACAUCAAAAUCCUUAUCUUCAUCCUUGUACAUGAAACCAUUGGACCUUCGAUAGCAAGCAUCACAACUGAAGACUUGUAGCUCCUUGUUUGUAACUAAAGUGAGCCGUUCAUUGUGUAGUACAUGUCGUCUCCUUUAGGACAUUCAGCACAAUUCUGAUGUAGAGAAAAAUCACAAUUCACACAGCUAUAAAAAGAUUGAAGACCGAUGGGAUGGGUGCAUGCGCUGCAUCGUUUGGUAUCCUCAUACAAAACAACCAUUCUCAUUGAAUCUGAGGUAAUGCUUUGUGGCUGAAAUGUUGUAUUGUGUUGUCGUCUAUCACCACAUAUGGUUCUAUAUCUUCUUCUUCUUCAGGUACUCCUUCUAGUUCUUCCCCAUUCCACACAUCUUUUCUGGUAGCACAUUUAGAAUGAACGACAUAGCCAGGACACCUCUUGCAAGAAAACCCACCACAAGUCCAAUCCACUUUCUUGCGACAAACUCCACACACAGAAUUCAUAGCAGCGUCACCAAGAACCGAAGUACGAGAAACACAGUGAUCAUGCCGGUUGAUGUUAAUGACACGUGGAAGGCCAAGACAAUCUUGAUGGAUCAUGAAACCACAAUCAAAACAUGCGUAAGGGCUUCGAUCUCCCUUUAGACCGCAAGCAUUACAUGUAAAAGAAUCGAGUCUUGGAAGAAGGGUGAGUUGGUGAUCAUGCACUUUCGGAUCAACAAGAGAUUUUUGUGGUGGAAUAAGAACACAAUGGAAAUCCACAGUGAAGUUACAAGAAGAACAAUGAUAAAAAUAUUCACCAAUCUCUGUUCCGCAAAGACGACAUUUACCAUCAGAAUAGUGCGGUGGUGGACCUGUGAGGAGCUUAAGAGGAUGCAAGGAGUGGUAAGGGUGGUUUACCUCUGGUGAGUAAUUUAGCUUUAUUGCUGGGUUCCAUACACAAUCCACGUGGAAGGAUACAUCGCAUUCAUCACAUUUGUAAGGAAGUCCACCACUAGCCUUCCCGCAUUUAGCAGAACAGUCGAACUUAGUCCCUUUCUUGAGAAGUAUGAGCUUGUGGGGAUGGGUCUCAAAAUUGUCAAUAACAUUUGGUGGUUGUUGCUUGGCACAGUGUAGAUCCAAGUCGAAGUCACACAUGUCACAACGGUAGAAUAGCUUUGAGAUUUUCCAACGACAAAAGUCACAUCUGUUACUUGAUUCAUGUUGAAGCUCGAGAGUGUGCCCGGGGUGAGAUGGGUGGUCGAUGAAUUCAGAGAUCUCGUCGUUGCCACAUUUCUUGUGGACGAAAAAGACACAGAGUUUACAAAAGUAGCCGUCACUCUGUGAUUCAUAUCUCCCACAACAAUCACCUCUCCUCAGAUCAUUCCAAGGCAUCAUAGGAUGCUCGUGAAAUGGUAACCACACUCCCUCAGAUUCCAUUUGCUCUCUCUCUCUCUCGUAUACUAAAGAAGAUGAAGAAAGAGAAAGGGGUUGAAUACGUGUAUUAAGAAAAAGAAGAAGUCAUGAGGUUGAACAGUGUGGGCAUCUCUUUCUCUGGCCACUCAAACAUUAUCCCCUCUCAAGUUUCUUUGUUUUCAUAUUUCGAUAAAGAAAAGGUUCCCUAUGCUUAAGGUGGGGUUGUCCGCUUUGUUUUCUCUUUUACUUUUCUGGUUUUCUUUUUGCUUUUUCUCCAAAUGCGUAGUAUUGUCACUUAUCAGCUGCAUAACCGUAACGAAGAAAGAUGGUGGACGCUCAAGAAGCUAUAGUUCUGGCAGCAUUUGCCUCUUUCAGGAUAACCUUACAGAUUUUUUUCUCAUUAUAGUUGCAACUAUUUUGAUGACCAUGACCUAAGUUGAAGGUUAUGCAUCACUUUUGUUAUUUAGAUAGACGAUCAGCUGAGAAAUAAUUCUGGUUCAUUGUCGUCACUGUCUUUCUUGGAUGUAUCAUUAUAGAGACAUCGUUUCAGCUGUUUCAAAUAUUUCCAUGGAUAAUGAAGUCACAUUACGUACAUUGAUAAAAAGUAGAUUACAAACUUGUAUACUCGCUUCCGCUUGUCUAAUCAAAAUGCUUAUAAUCUUUUUCAACCUUAGUUACUAUUGCAGAUUACUCUUGAAAUUGUGAGAGAGGUUGAUUAUAGCAUGGACCCCAAAGAGAAGCUUGUUAAUUCAUCUCACAGAGCAAAUGUAUGUACCAGACCUUUAAGAUGAUAGCGUAUUGCAAUGGUAUGCCAAAAAUGGACGUGAUGUACCUCAAAUGGUAUGCCAAAAUACUUCAGCGUGUUCCCUGGCAUGAGCCACCUAGUGUCUCCGAGCACACACGUGUAGAACCAGUUCUUUGGAUUGGUAUCUUUCUUACCAAAUGUCACACCAGUAUUUGCCAUUUUCCUUUGAGAGCUUUACGUAUAUAGGUACUUUCGGCUUCCACUUUUACAGUUUAACAUACUUGUAGCUGGUGGUGUACUUUGUGUCUUACUUUUGAAUUAUUGUGACAAAAAUGCCCUUUACGAAAAGUCUCGUGACUAGUUGGUAGGUUUCUGGAGUCUUGUGCUUUUAUAGUGACAAUUGAAUUAGUGCAAAUUAAAUUUGAUCCGAUGGAUGUGUGUUUCGUGGUACAUAAGAAGUUUUUUUUAUUUUGUGUUUAACUGUAUAGUAAAUUUUUUUUAGUUAUGCAUAUUAACGUAAUGUAUGGUUGAUUUGGGAAUGAGUUGUUAUGUUAUAAUAGAAGGUGCAGUUAGUAAGAACAUACAUUUGUGGUCAAGAUCAUAGUAUAGGUAUGAUCAUUAAAAAAUUGUGGUCAUUUCUUUGAGAUUCAUAAUUUGUUUUUUAAUAACUUUUUGCUGACCAUUACAAUUCAAUAAUUGUGGUUAUGGAGAAAUUAUUUUAUAAGCAAGUAUGGUUAUAAAAUUUGGUUCAUUGGCUUAUUGAUGUGGUUAGGCAAGUGUGGUUAUAAGCUUUGGAUCUUUUUCUUUUCUUCCAGCUUUCUCACCUCUCGUUUUGAAUCUCACCGUCCAUUAAACAAAAAAAAUCAAAAUAUAGAGGAAGAAAAUCAUAAAUCCACCAUAUUUAUGAUUAAAAGGUAUAUGGCAUCACUAUUCUUCGCUUAACCUUUGGUUUCAUUAUCUUUCAUCUCGAUAUCUACGAGCAAGAAAAAAGUGAAGAAUAGAAGGUGACUCAGAUCUGACUCAACGACGCGGUGAGAGCGAGCGAACUUCACCUAUGAACGUUAAGCUUCCUUGAAAUCUAACGCUUCCACCGUCGAAGAAAACUUUGUCAUCAUCACUUCCAACUGAAUCGCCUCUUUAAAUAUUUUUUUAUUUUUUGGAUUCUUUUCUCGUGAAAUAAAAAUUUGUAUUGAAGAAUAAAAGGAAAAAAGAGAAAGGUAAAGCUUCACAAAGAGUUGGGUCACGAUAAAAGUAAGGGAAAUAGAAAGAUAAUUAAUUUCAGGGGUAAUUUAGACAAUAGCACGUACAAAAGUACUUGACAUGGGAAAAGUAUGCUAAAGUGAUAUAGAGUAGAGAUAAAGUAUGUCUAAGUGUAAAUUUUUCUUUUCCUUUUCUCCAUAGCAUAGUGAGAGAAUAUAAUCAUCAACCUAUGCUUUGCCUCCAUGGCUUAUUAAUAUUUAUUAAUAUUAUGAUUGUUCAUUUCGCUCUACCUCUUCCCAUAUCAAACGUAAACAAGAGAGCACUCAACAGAGCAAAAGCAUAUAUCUGGGGACCCAAGCACCUUGAGGUAGAUAGGGUACAUGCAACGAGACUUGCACCGAAUGCAAAAUGGGCGAGUUACACUAUUAUUCAGCACCACCUCAUGCGGUAUGCCCAACAACUUUGGUACGCUUCUUGGCAUGAGUCCUGCAGUGUCUCCGAGCACACAUUUUGUAUGCAAACUAGCCAAGUGAUCUUUACACGUGUAGAACCAUUUCUUUGGAUCGGUUUCUCUCUCACAGAUGUCGCACCAGUAUUUACCACUUGCCUCUUCUUCUUCCACAUAGCAUAGUGAGAGAGGAUGAUCAUCUACUCUGUGCUUUACCACUUGUGGUAGAGUGGCACAUUUGAAGCAUAUUACAAAUCCACAAUCAUCUUCAAUGCACUUGAGUAGACGAUAUUCCUUAUUGUUGCAACCAUUGCAUAUUCCCGUCUCUUCAAUGGAAUUGUCAGAUAAUACGAAAGUGUAAUAUAAGGGAUGGUGGUGAUGACGUUCAAAUGGCUCAGAAACUGAACCGCACAAGACAUCCAACUUCGUAUACCGAUCCUUGUAUAUGAAUCCAUUGCACAUUCGACUGCAAGCAUAACAUCCGAAGGUAUCUAGCUCCUUGUUUGUAAAUAAAGUGAGCCGUUCAUUGUGUAACACAUGCCUUUUCUUUUUAGGACAUUUAGCACAGCACUGAUGGAGAGAAAAAUCACAAUCCAUACAUCCAUAAAAGGAUUGGAGACCAAUGGGAUGGGUGCAUGCGCUGCAUCGUUUGGUAUCCUCAUACAAAACACCAUUCUCAUUGAAUCUGAGGUAAUGCUCUUUGUGGCUGAAAUGUUGUAUUGUGUUGUCGUCUAUCACCACAUAUGGUUCUAUAUCUUCUUCUUCUUCAGGUACUCCUUCAAGCUCUUUCAUGUUCCAAACAUCAUAUCUGGUAGCACAUUUAGAAUGAACAACAUAGUUAGGGCACGUCUGACAAGAAAAUCCUCCACAAGUCCAGUCCACCUUCUUGUGACAAACUUCGCAUACAGAAUUCAUAGCACCAUCACCAAGAAGCAAAGUACGAGAAACACGGUGAUCAUGUCGAUUGAUGUUAAUGACACGAGGAAGACCAAGACAGCCUUGAUGGAUCAUGAAAUCACAUUGAACACACAUGUAAGGGCUUCGAUCUCCCUUGAGCCCACAAGCAUUACAUGUGAAUGAAAGCAGUCUUGGAAGAAGCUUGAGUUGGUGAUCAUGAGCUUUCAAGUUCAAAAGAGAUUGUGGUGGCGGAUUCACAACACAACGCCAAUCCAAGGUGAAGUUACAAGAAGAACAAUGAUAAAACAAUUCUUUAUCAACCUUUCUUCCGCAAAGACGACAUUUACCAUCAGAAUAGUCAGGUGGUGGACCCUUGAAUAGCUUAAGAGGAUGCAAGGAGUGAUAAGGGUGGUUUACCUCUGUUGAGUGCUCUAGUGCUGCUGGGUGCCAUACACAUUCCACAUGAAAGGCUACAGCAUCACAUUCAUUACAUUGGUAAUAAAAUCCACAAGAAAAUCCUGCAGCAUAUGCAGAAGUCUUCCCGCAUUUUGCAGAACAGUGGAAGGCGCUCAGUUCCUUGACAAAUGUGAGCUUGUGGGGAUGCAUCUCAAAAUUUUCAAUAAUAUCUGGUGGUGGGUACUUGGCACAGUGUAGAUCCAUGUGGAAGUCACACAUCUCGCAACGAUAGGAUAGAUUUUGGAUUUUACUAUCACAUAUAUAGCAUACGUGAUCUUCUCGUUUUUCUUGAAGCCGGAGAGUGUGAUCGGGGUGAGAUGGGUGGUCGCUGAUGAAUUCAGACAGCUCGUCGCCACACUUCUUGUGCACGAAGAAAUCACAGAGUUUACAAUAGUAGCCAUCACUCUGAGGUUCAAAGCAAUCACAGCAAUCGCCUUUCCUCAUAUGAUGAUCAUUCCAAGGCGUCAUAGGAUGCUCGUGAAACAAUGGUAACAACACUCCUCCCUCAGAUUCCAUUUUGCUCUCUAGUAUACUAAAGAAGAUGAAGAAGAAGAAGGAAAGAUUGAAUAAUGGAGAUAGAUCUCUUGAAUAAUGGUGUGGUGUGUUUUCUCAAAGCUAUAUCUCUUUCUCUGGCCACUCAAACAUUAUCCCCUCUCAAGUUUCUUUGUUUUCAUAUUUCGAUAAAGAAAAGGUUCCCUAUGCUUAAGGUGGGGUUGUCAGCUUUGUUUUCUCUUUUACUUUUCUGGUUUUCUUUUUGCUUUUUCUCCAAAUGCGUAGUAUUGUCACUUAUCAGCUGCAUAACCGUAACGAAGAAAGAUGGUGGACGCUCAAGAAGCUAUAGUUCUGGCAGCAUUUGCCUCUUUCAGGAUAGCCUUACAGAUUUUUUUCUCAUUAUAGUUGCAACUAUUUUGAUGACCAUGACCUAAGUUGAAGGUUAUGCAUCACUUUUGUUAUUUAGAUAGACGAUCAGCUGAGAAAUAAUUCUGGUUCAUUGUCGUCACUGUCUUUCUUGGAUGUAUCAUUAUAGAGACAUCGUUUCAGCUGUUUAAAAUCUUUCCUCGAGCAUGUUCUGAUUCAUUGAGUCCAGAGUUUCAAACCCGGGAUAAUAUAUGAAACAUAUCAAUCAGACUUUUUUUUAUAACAAACCUUUACCAAGCAUUUUACAUGUAAGACUGAGGGUUACUGUGCUCUUCGUUCUCAAGGGAAGAUAUUGCAGAAAACGUAGAGCUGAAAACAUUAGGAGAAACAAUAGUCUUGGAAGGAAAAACAGUCUCCAUUGAUAAAAAGUAGAUGAACACGGUGAUUGAUGUUAAUGACCCGUGGAAGGCCAAGACAGUCUUGAUGAAUCAUGAAACCACAUGGAACACAUAUGUAAGGGCUUUGAUCUCCCUUGAGGCCACAAGCAUUACAUGUAAAAAAAAAAUCGAGUCUUGGAAGAAGAGUGAGCUGGUGAUCAUGAGUGGGGGGUUCAAAACAAUUCUAAGGCAAAGACGACAUGUUCCAUCAAAACACAAGGCAUAUCCAAGGUGAAGUUACAAGAAUAACAAUGAUAAAAACAAUUCUUUAUCAAUCUCUCUUGUGUUUGGAGUUUGAUUUGGCUUUGAUGGCGACGAGGAACCGAACGACGGUGUACAGGAAACACAGAGACGCGUGCUCCUCUGUCUGAUUCGUUCGGUGGUCCGGUGAUCGAAAUGGUUAGUGUUUGAUCCAAAAAUGGUGUUUAUCUUUGUGAUGUUUGUUGGAAUCAAUCAAAUAAAGAAUCUAAAGAUAAAAGCUUAGAUUCUUGAGGUUUAGGAGAAAUCUUAAAAGAAUCAAAUGAGAAAUGAACAUCAAAAGAAUUUAUUGAUUUAAGAUUGUAUUACAUGUAGGAUUACAAGUGUAAAUAAAUCUAAUAAUUCAUAAACCCUUUGUAAGAAGUGUUCUAAGUCUAAAAUGAAGAAGAAGACCCCCCGUCUAAUAAGGAGAUAAUUCCUUAUUUAUAGAAGAAAGAUGACUAGAGUUUCAUAGUAAAAUGGGUCUAAUUUAUUGUCUAAUGGGCCUUGAGGUAGAAUGUAAAUCUACCCCCAACAAUAAGUCCCCCCAAGUUCGUAGAGAGAGAUGAAGUCGAUCUCUGUGAAUUUUACGAAUAGGGUUUAUUAGACAAUAAACUAGACACAUUCAUGCCUAUGAUGGUUUAGGCGAGUUUACUUCGAACUUGUGCCUAGUAAAAGGCAAGUUUGCUUUAAACUCGUGCUUAGUGAAAGACGAGUUUACUUGACUCAUGCUGAGACAGAGGCGAAUUUACUGAGAACUCGUGCCUAGUAGUAGGAGAGUUUCUGUAAACUCAUGCCUUGUCAAAGAUGAGUUUUUGUAAACUCGUGUCUAACAAUAAGUGAGUCUAAUGCAAAUUUGUGCCUAAUAUAAAGCAAGUUGAAUUUAAACUCGUGCCUAGUAAAAAUAAGUUUACCGAACUUUGCCGACCCGAAGUCUCGUGUUGAGAUCGUGUGUGCCGAGCAAGUUAUUGGCUUGUGUGUUCGUCAGGCAUGAUGACGUAAGAAAGCGCCGGCUUGUGCUGAUUCAGACAAGUUUGUAGCUGAGAGAUCGCCAUUCCAAGCAUGAGGACAUGACAGUAGCACUCACUUGUUGAUUCUCUUUGGCUCAACGAUCUAAUCAACUCUGGUUCACAACAAAAAGCAUGAUCAGAUCAAGGUUAACCAAAAGAACCAGCCAAGUUUUGUAUAAUUGAUAAGCAAGCGAUAGUUUAACUUGUGUUAAUGCUCGGCUAUUGCAUAUGAUGUUAGUAAUUUAUCAAUUACUAAUCAUUAUGCACAGGUUGCAAACAACAAAUCAAUCAACCGUAAUUAUCUCAUAAAGGUUAUAAGAUACUUAUCUUUGAGGAUGAGCCUUGUUUGUAACUUGACAAAGAAGUUAUUGUGGACGUGAUGACAUUUUGUGCUGACGAUCUCAAUGGAUCGCUCUUAUCAGAGCUGAGAUGACGGUGAACUCAAAGCUGAUGACUUUAUCUUUGUUCCUCACUGUUGAGAGCUCGUUUCCUUUUGCAACCUCUUCUUCGUAUUUUUUUUUUGAGAUGACAAACUCGUAUGCCGGUUCAUGUUCAAAGCGGAGGUUAAGCAUGAAGCGUCGAGAGAGUACCACAGGCCUAGUGAGGAAGAUAACUUAGGAGUGUGCAUGAGCUUGAGCCUCUUGAUCCUUGAACUUGAGCUCGAGCUUCUUGAUGGCUGACGUGCGUGCAUGACCUUUAGCCUCGUGACCGUCGAGCAAGUGAUGGAGCUUUAGGCCCGCAAGAAGCUUCGUUGAUGGAGCUUUGAAGACGUCAUGGUGAUGAAGCCAUAAGAAACCGGGUGCCGAGAUCACAUGAUCACCUCUGUUUCUCGGCGGUGUACCGGACGAGCUUGAACUUACAUUGUUGUUUGGCGUUGACUUGUGCCUAGUAAAUCACAUGACUGUUGCUCGGCGUUAACCCGCACGAUCUCAAGGCUUCUGUCGCAACAAGAGCAGUCAUCGACGAGGUGAGACGAGAUGGACCUUGAACGGAGGCACGCAAACGAGGCCUUGAAGAGCUUGCCGGUAAUGACGUGCUUGUCUAGAGAGCUUUCUUGAAGAAGCAAGACCUUGUUGGAGAGGUUGUCAUCGACAUGAUCAUAACCAAUUGAACCUUCUCCUCGUCAUGAAGGAGCUCUCCUCCUAUUCUCACGCUCAUGCCAAGGUUAAAGCCUUUGUCGGGUAGAAAGAUGCGACCGAUUCCCUUUGCUGUGUGAAAGCAAAGGCCAGAGCUGUCCUUGGGCUUCUUGGGAUACAGCGAUCUCGGGAUGAAGAAGAGACAGCACUUGCUACAGCGGUCUCGUCUUAAAGAUGAGGCAAGAACUUCCUGUCACUCGGUUUCGUCUUUAACGAAGACGAGGAGCUUGUACUAUCCCGUCAGUGUGGCGAGCUUGUGUGAUGCAGUGAUCAAGCUCGUUUAUCAGACGAGAGCCAGAAAUGAGCAGGGUCUGUAAGCUUCCGAGCUGACUGGUAUGGCCUAGCCCUUAGUUCACCGUGAAAUUACGCUCCAUUCUAUUAAACAAAGACAUUAGAAGUUGAAAAUAAUUCGUAAGAAACUAUUUAAUAAUGCUUUGGAGAGUUAUGCAAGGUAGCUUGUCAAUUAUCUAUGGGAACAAUCGUUCAAAGUAUACAAUAAUUUAUAACAUUGACUCAGCGAAUGAAUAAUUGAUAAAUAAUUAAUCAAGAAUCCACGACUUGCACAAAGUGUGAAGUAUUAUUUAGUGGUAAUGGAUAAUUGACCAAAAUAUUGAAAAGGAGACUUAUCUUUUUUUUUUGUGUAGGCAAUUUUGAUGGAGAUAUCUUGUGCCAGUCUGGAGGGAUUUCGAACAGGAAGGUAUCUUGUAGUUACCAGGUCCACAAGUGAGUAGAUUCCCUGGUUUAAUCCAUUUAUGAGAUGCAUCUCCCCAUUUCACUUCUUCUAGAGCUACCCAUCCUAACCCUUGUACGAAUGCUCCUUCUAUCUGCAAAACAUGUUCAGGUUUCAGACACAAACGCAACACUCUUGUCUUAAUGAUUUCAAGUGGUUUUGUUUCAAGUACUUGUCCAAUAUCUAUGGCUGGGUUAAGAGAAUAUCCCAGGUCCAACUUUAUAUCGACCGUUUUUGUGUGAAAGUCACCGGUUAAUGUAUCGAUCUCAACUUCCGCAAAUGCAGCUCCGUAGGUGUAAUAUCUGAAUGGGUUUCCUUUACCGGAGAUCCAGUCAAAGCCAACAUCGGGAACAAUGUAAAAGCCAUGAGCAGAGAGGUCUAUUCGUUGAAAAUAGCAUGCACUUGCCAGCUACAUACCAAUCAAAACAAAGCAGGUUAAGAGAGUUUUAUUCAUCAAAAGGCAAAGAAUGUUUCAUUGAGUUACCUCAGCAAAGGAGUUGCCACUGAGCUUAGUGGCAAGAGGCUCCAUUCGUGCUUUAAUCUGCUCACAAGCGUCCAAAACCGCAGCACCGUACAUGCAGAGCUCAGAGAAGCAGCGGUUGGUGACGCAUUUGGAACCUAUCAAAAUAUAGAGCAACGAACAGUUUUGUGCCUGAAACAUAGUUACAUAUUAUUUCUUAACACUUUAUAUUAUAAAUAUUACCUUGUCGGUGCUCGUCUCUGAUACAAAAACGGAACUAAGGGGAAUGUUAAAGGCAAAAGCAGCAACUUGGGCAACCUUCGUAUGCAAUCCUUGACCCAUCUCUACACCUCCAUGUGUCACCAAAACAGUGCCGUCUGUGUACACAUGAACAAGAGCACCUGCCUAACACCCAAAAUAAAAAAUGGAUAAGUAACAAAAACUCUGUUUCUUGCUUCGCAAGAAAUGGUAGUGCAAAGUGGACUGUUUCUUACCUGGUUCAUGAACUUUUUGGUAAAUGAAACGCCAAACUUUGUAGGAACCAUAGCCACACCACGCUUUUUCCACCGGUUGUGGCUAUUAAAAUCGUCGACUUCUCUACGAGCCUUUAGAAAGUUGCAAGACACUUUCAGCUCCUUCCAGAGCUGAUGCAGUGUGCAAUGCUGAAUACACUGAGAGUAAUGUGUGAUAGAGCCUUCCACUUGAAAGUUCAUCUCCUAAAUUGACACGCAAGAAAACAUCAAAACAUGAGAAAAAAUUCCUAUGAACUUUCAGGAACAUUAUGAUUUCUUCAACUCACUUUGAUUUCUUCAGGGCUUCUAUCCAGUUCAGCUGCGAUUCUCUGGAUCCAGUUUUCGGUUAUAAGCAUGCCUUGCGGACCUCCAAAGCCUCGGAAAGCAGUGUUGCUAGGAUAGUUAGUAAAGCAAACGUUCCCUCUGAUCCUCACAUGUGGGAUCUCAUAGACAUUAUCAGAGUUAAACAUGGCAAUCUCAAGAACAGCUUGGGAAAGAUCCAAAGAGUUUCCACCAUUGUUGUAGACUUCAAGGUCAUACGCCAAUACUUUCCCACCAUUAGUAAACCCAACCUGUAAAUAGUAUCGGAAUAACAAUUAAUAAGAAAACGCUUUAUCUAAUAACCACAGAGGAUGAUGAUACCUUCGUUGCCACCAUCACUUGUCCAGACCAAACUACCAUGGGCUCCAUGUAAAAGUGUUCCUGGCUGCCCAUUUGAACCUCUCCAUUUAUUAUCCUAUCUCACUGACCUGACUGAAAGCAUAGCUCUACAUCUCCUUUCCUUAGCAUUUUCUCUGUGUUUGGGUGGAAACUUUUAGCAGCAAUAGCCUCCUUGAUUGAUAAUAUUGCUGGUAAUAUAGCAUUUUCAUGUGUAUCCGCAACAACCACACCAAUGACCUGAAAAAAUCCAGACACAGUUUAGCGAUAAUCUAAGAAAUAAAAAGUUUCAAGUCUUCUUACUUGUCCCACACAUGUGACCACAUCUGUAGCAAAUAAUUCUUCAUCAGCUACCACAGGUCCAGUCUUAUUAUCUGCUGGACCGUAUUUGGCAAGAAACAUACCAGCAAAACCACGUGAAGAUUUGGAGGCACUGGGGCAUCAGUAUAUUCUGCUUCCCCUGUGACCUACAUGAAAGUUCAAGAGUGUUGAGAGUUGAGACAUUGUGUUAUGCUUUGAUUUCACGAUUUCCUUCUAUAAUAGUUUACUGAAAAAUGCUUUGAUAAGCAAUCAUUUUCUACCCAAGAGAAGAGAGAUACAUCUUUCUUCCAUGUUUGAAUAGGCAGAGAUAACACAAAGAAUGGUGAUAACAACACUCGGUUACACUAUGAUUCACAGCGAUUGUUCUUUAAAUCCUCAAGAAUCUGUUACCUAUAAAUUUAUAAGAAAACAGCUCACCUUUUUAAAAUAAAAUAAAAAUAAGUUCGAUAGAGAUCAUCAAAUUCAUAAUGGAAGUGAACUUGUCCAAGGAAGAAUAUAAGAAACUUGAACGAAUAAAACAUCUUUCCUCAUCAACGAAACCAAUAUGUGCAAGAAACGGAGCAAAGGUAUGUCUCUGAGGUUCUUCCAAGCAACUUGAAGUAGAUAGGGUACUUGCAACGAUCCUUACACCGCCCCUUGCAAAACGGACGAGUUACACUAUCAUUGAGCCCCACCUGACACGAUUUGCCCCAAAUCUUUGCUAAACUUCUUGGCAUGAGCCCUGUCGAGUCUCCGAGCACACAACUUGUAUGCAAACUAGCCCGCUGAUCUUUACAAGUGUAGAACCAUUCCUUUGAAUCGGUUUCUUUCUCGCAGAUGUCACACCAAUAUUUACCACUUGCCUCCUCUUCUUCGCCAUAGCACAGUGAGAGAGGAUGAUCGUCUACUCUAUUCUUCACCACUUGUGGUAGAGUGGCGCAUUUGAAUCCCAAUGCAAAUCCACAAUCACCUUCAAUGCACCUGAGGACAUGUGAUUCCCUUCUGUUGCAACCAUUGCAUAUUUCUACUUCUUCUGUUGGAAUGUAAUAUAAGGGAUGUUGGGGAUGACUUGGAUGGAAAAAUGGCUCAGAAAUUGAACCGCACAAGACAUCAAAAUCCUUAUCUUCAUCCUUGUACAUGAAACCAUUGGACCUUCGAUAGCAAGCAUCACAACUGAAGACUUGUAGCUCCUUGUUUGUAACUAAAGUGAGCCGUUCAUUGUGUAGUACAUGUCGUCUCCUUUUAGGACAUUCAGCACAAUUCUGAUGUAGAGAAAAAUCACAAUUCACACAGCUAUAAAAAGAUUGAAGACCGAUGGGAUGGGUGCAUGCGCUGCAUCGUUUGGUAUCCUCAUACAAAACACCAUUCUCAUUGAAUCUGAGGUAAUGCUCUUUGUGGCUGAAAUGUUGUAUUGUGUUGUCGUCUAUCACCACAUAUGGUUCUAUAUCUUCUUCUUCUUCAGGUACUCCUUCUAGUUCUUCCCCAUUCCACACAUCUUUUCUGGUAGCACAUUUAGAAUGAACGACAUAGCCAGGACACCUCUUGCAAGAAAACCCACCACAAGUCCAAUCCACUUUCUUGCGACAAACUCCACACACAGAAUUCAUAGCAGCGUCACCAAGAACCGAAGUACGAGAAACACGGUGAUCAUGCCGGUUGAUGUUAAUGACACGUGGAAGGCCAAGACAAUCUUGAUGGAUCAUGAAACCACAAUCAAAACAUGCGUAAGGGCUUCGAUCUCCCUUUAGACCGCAAGCAUUACAUGUAAAAGAAUCGAGUCUUGGAAGAAGGGUGAGUUGGUGAUCAUGCACUUUCGGAUCAACAAGAGAUUUUUGUGGUGGAAUAAGAACACAAUGGAAAUCCACAGUGAAGUUACAAGAAGAACAAUGAUAAAAAUAUUCACCAAUCUCUGUUCCGCAAAGACGACAUUUACCAUCAGAAUAGUGCGGUGGUGGACCUGUGAGGAGCUUAAGAGGAUGCAAGGAGUGGUAAGGGUGGUUUACCUCUGGUGAGUAAUUUAGCUUUAUUGCUGGGUUCCAUACACAAUCCACGUGGAAGGAUACAUCGCAUUCAUCACAUUUGUAAGGAAGUCCACCACUAGCCUUCCCGCAUUUAGCAGAACAGUCGAACUUAGUCCCUUUCUUGAGAAGUAUGAGCUUGUGGGGAUGGGUCUCAAAAUUGUCAAUAACAUUUGGUGGUUGUUGCUUGGCACAGUGUAGAUCCAAGUCGAAGUCACACAUGUCACAACGGUAGAAUAGCUUUGAGAUUUUCCAACGACAAAAGUCACAUCUGUUACUUGAUUCAUGUUGAAGCUCGAGAGUGUGCCCGGGGUGAGAUGGGUGGUUGAUGAAUUCAGAGAGCUCGUCGUUGCCACAUUUCUUGUGCACGAAAAAGACACAGAGUUUACAAUAGUAGCCGUCACUCUGUGAUUCAUAUCUUCCACAACAAUCACCUCUCCUCAGAUCAUUCCAAGGCAUCAUAGGAUGCUCGUGAAAUGGUAACCACACUCCCUCAGAUUCCAUUUGCUCUCUCUCUCUCUCGUAUACUAAAGAAGAUGAAGAAAGAGGAAGGGGUUGAAUACGUGUAUUAAGAAAAAGAAGAAGUCAUGAGGUUGAACAGUGUGGGCAUCUCUUUCUCUUUCUUUGUUUUCAUAUUUCGAUAAAGAAAAGGUUUUCUAUGCUUAACGUGGGGUUGUCCGCUUUGUUUUCUCUUUUACUUUUCUGGUUUUCUUUUUGCUUUUUCUCCAAAUGCGUAGUAUUGUUUACUUAACCAGAAAAGAUGGUGGACGAUCAAGAGGCUAUAUAAUUCUGGCAGCAUUUGCCUCCUUCAAAUCACGGUGGGAAACACAUGUUUGUGCUCAAACGCAUCAAUGCCAUAACCCCCACAAUAUGGUUAACACAGUGGACUCCUGAACCACGCGACGUUUUCUGAACAACGAUUACAAUCUUCUGAUUCUUAAUUAUUGUCUGCUUCAUGAUUCCUAUAACUUAUGUUAAGUCUCUUGCCAAACUUGAAGGGAUCCAAAUAGUUCUCUCUUUCUUAAGUACAACAUGAAUUUUGUUCGCUCAUGCUAGUUAACUUAUUCUACUCUCUUUUUUUUUUUGUUUUUUCUUUGUUCAUAUGCAGGAAGACUGUAAAGUCUAUAAUCCAAGGGUUUCUUUCAGGAUAGCCUUAUAGAUUUUUUUUCACAUUAUACUUGCAACUAUUUUGAUGAGCAUGACCUAAGUUGAAGGAUAUACAUCACUUUUGUGUCGUAGCUUGACACAGAAGUUACCGUUUAUGUCGGGGAAACCUGUGAUUUUGGUGUCGAUCUGUAAAGUUUACCACCUGAUGAAACUGAAAAGUCUCAAACACUAAACUGAAAAGUCUCAAACACUUAACUCACAAAAGGAGUAAAAGAGUUCCAAUUUCCAGGGUAAUUAACUUCACGAUUUUCUUCUAUAAUAGUUUAUAGAAAAUGCUUUGAUAAACAAUCAUUUUCUACCCAAGAGAAGAGAGACACAUCUUUCUUCCAUGUUUGAAUAGGCAGAGACAACACAAAGAAUGGUGAUGUGUAGGACAACAAUACUCGGUUACACUAUGAUUCACAGUGAUUGUUCUUUUAGUCCUCAAGAAUCUGUUACCUAUAAAUUUAUAAGAAAACAGCUCACAUUUUUAAAAUAAAAUAAAAAUAAGUUCGAUAGAGAUCAUCAAAUUCAUAAUGGAAGUGAACUUGUCCAAGGAAGAAUAUAAGAAACUUAAACGAAUAAACAUCUUUCCUCAUCAAUGAAACCAAAAUAUGCAAGAAACGGAGCAAAGGUAUGUCUCUGAGGUUCUUCCAAGCAACUUGAAGUAGAUAGGGUACUUGCAACGAUCCUUACACCGCCCCUUGCAAAACGGACGAGUUACACUAUUAUUGAGCUCCACCUCAAACGAUUUGCACCAAAUCUCUGCUAUACUUCUUGGCAUGAGCCCUGCAGAGUCUCCGAGCACACAUUCUGUAUGCAAACUAGCCCGCUGAUCUUUACAAGUGUAGAACCAUUCCUUUGGAUUGGUUUCUCUCUCACAAAUAUCACACCAAUAUUUACCACUUGCCUCUUCCUCUUCGCCAUAGCACAGUGAGAGAGGAUGAUCGUCUACUCUGUGCUUCACCACUUGUGGUAGAGUGGCGCAUUUGAAGCACAAUACAAAUCUACAAUCAUCUUCAAUGCACCUGAGCACAUAAUCUUCCUUGCUGUUUUUGCAACCAUUGCAUAUUUCUACUUCUUCUGUUGGAAUGUAAUAUAAGGGAUGAUGGGGAUGACUUGGAUGGAGAAAUGGCUCAGAAAUUGAACCGCACAAGACAUCAAACUCCUUACCCCCAUCCUUGUACAUGAAACCAUUGGACCUUCGAUAGCAAGCAUCACAACUGAAGACUUCUAGGUCCUUGUUUGUAACUAAAGUGAGGCGUUCAUUGUGUAGUACAUGCCUUUUCUUUUUAGGACAUUCAGCACACUUCUGAUGGAGAGAAAAAUGACAAUCCAUACAUCCAUAAAAGGAUUGGAGACCGAUGGGAUGGAUGCAUGCGCUGCAUCGUUUGUUAUUCUCAUACAAAACACCAUUCCCAUGGAUUCGUCUUAGGUAAUGCUCUUUGUGGCUGAAAUGUUGUAUUGUGUUUUCAUCUAUUACCACAUAUGGUUCUGUACCUUCUUCUUCUUCGGGUACUCCUUCGAGUUCUUUCCCGUUCCACACAUCAUUUCUGGUAGCACAUUUAGAAUGAAAGACAUAGCCAGGACACCUCUUACAAUAAAACCCUCCACAAGUCCAAUCCACCUUCUUGCGACAAACUCCGCACACAGAAUUCAUAGCAGCGUCACCAAGAACGGAAGUACGAGAAACACGGUGAUCAUGCCGGUUGAUGUUAAUGACACGUGGAAGGCCAAGACAGUCUUGAUGGAUCAUGAAACCACAAUCAAAGCAUGCGUAAGGGCUUCGAUCUCCUUUUAGACCGCAAGCAUUACAUGUAAAAGAAUCGAGUCGUGGAAGAAGGGUGAGUUGGUGAUCAUGCACUUUCGGAUCAACAAGAGAUUUUUGUGGUGGGUUCAAAACACAAGGCAUAUCCAGUGUGAAGUUGCAAGAAGAACAAUUAUAAAACAAUUCUUUGUCAAUCUCUGUUCCGCAAAGACGACAUUUACCAUCAGAAUAGUCCGGUGGCGGACCUGUGAGGAGCUUAAGAGGAUGCAAGGAGUGGUAAGGAUGGUUUACCUCUGUCGGAUGAUCUGUUGCUGGGUGCCAUACACAAUCCACGUGGAAGGCUACAUCGCAUUCAUCACAUUUGUAAGUAAGUCCAACACUAGCCUUCCCGCAUUUAGCAGAACAGUUGAACAAAAUCGGUUCCUUGACAAGUGUGAGCUUGUGGGGAUGAGUCUCAAAAUUGUCAAUAACAUCUGGUGGUGGGUACUUGGCACAGUGUAGAUCCAAGUCGAAGUCACACAUCUGACAACGAUAGCAUAGCUUUGCGAUUUUCCAACCACAUAAAUCACAUAUGUUACCUCCUUUAUCAUGUCGAAGCUGGAGAGUGUGAUUGGGGUGAGAUGGGUGGUCGAUGAAUUGAGAGAGCUCGUUGUUGCCACAUUUCUUGUGGACGAAAAAGACACAGAGUUUACAAUAGUAGCCGUCACUCUGUGAUUCAUAUCUCCCACAACACUCACCUCUCCUCAGAUCAUUCCAAGGCAUCAUAGGAUGCUCGUGAAACAAUGGUAACAACACUCCUCCCUCAAAUUCCAUUUGGUGGUCGUAUACGAAGAGAGGGGAAGAAGAUGGCUAAAUCCCAAAGUUGCAUAAAAUUUCAAAGCUAGGUUAGAUGGUUAGUCUGAGAGGCGUUCUUAUAGACUUACUUUUUUACUUUUGGUGGUCAUUCAAUAAUAAUUAAAGUACUUCUCAAUUAUCAUGGUUGAUUAGUUAACUAUAUUUAGGACAGAAACCGACAAAUACAAUUAAUGGGAAAUUCUUUUCGCUCUAGCUUUUGUAUUAGUUUAUUGAAUAUUGAAUAAAGAGCUAUUCCAAUAAGUAAACAUGAUUGAUUAUGUAAUUGACUGAGAGAGUCAGUUGUCAGUUUCUCUGUGCGCCAAAACUCCUUACACUUUGCUUCAUAAUACUGUCGAAGUUGUAAGAGCAUUUCUAAGGGGACUCUAUUUUUUCCUCUAUAAUUUACACUAAAAUAGAGUAACUCUAUUAUAGAGUUGAAUUUGCUUCAAUGGUUCACUCUAUAAUAGAGUUACUCUAUAAUAGAGUUACUCUAUAAUAGAGUGAAAUAUAGAGUAAUCUCAUUUUUUUACUUCAAAUAUAGAGUGAAAAAACAAGAAUACUCUAUAUUUCACUCUAGAAUAGAGUAACUCUAUUAUAGAGUGAACCAUUGGAGCAAAUCCAACUCUAUAAUAGAAUUACUCUAUUCUAGAGUGAAAUAUAGAGAAAAUUAUAGUGUAGCAUUGGAGAUGGUCUAACCACUGCUGGUUUCAUCUUUGUAUUGUGGAAUGUAAUACAAAGGAUGAUGAUGCGUCACAUAAUAUAUCGUAACGUAAGGGAGAAUGGGCUUUGAGAAUUUACAAAAUAUAUAUAAUUCAAAAAAUUCACAAUCAGUUACAUGUAUUUCGGAGUAGACAGUGAUUUUGAUUGUGUCUAAAAAACAAAAAAAAAAAACAGUGAUUUUGGUCACAUAAGCAAAGUCUCAAACACUACUUGGUACAGAAGUUACUGCUUGCUUAUGUCGGGAAAACCUGUGAGUCUACCAUCCUCAUGUCUCAAACACUAAGCUUAGGGCUGAAAUCUAAACUCACAAAAGGAGAAAUAAACUCAUCGAAACAAGCCAUCCUAAUAUACGCUCAAUUUCCUGCCAAGACCCACCUCGGCUCUAGCCGCUUUGAUCGCAUCUUUAAUCGCAAAGAAAACGGAGGCUCACCAACUGUUUUUGACCAAUGUAUCUUGGGUCAGUUUCUUGACUUGUAAGUAAAGUAACAAAGCUUUGGGUGUGUGCUUUUUAUAUACCUUGAGAAGAGAAACCUAUAAGUUGAAGGGAAUCCCCGGUUUAAUCCAUUUUUGAGCUGCAUCUCCCCAUUUGACUUCUUCUAGAGCUACCCAUCCUAACCCUUGCACAAAUGCCCCUUCUAUCUGCAACAUGGUGAGAUUUCAGACAUAAAGACAACACUCUUUUGUUAAGAUUUCAAGUGAUUUUGUUUUUGUUUCAAAGAGAAGAGUGAGUACUUGUCCAAUAUCCCAGGUCCAACUUUACAUCGACUGUUCUUGUAUGAUAGUUACCAGUUAAUGUAUUGAUCUCAACUACUGCAAAUGCAGCUCAAUAGGUGUAAUAUAAAUUUGUAGUGAUUUUUGACUAGCGAUUGUUGGCAAGGCUGAGUCAAGCACCAGAAUUUCAAAAGAUGAUGUUCAUAAGCUUGUUACACUAUGUGUCACAGUGAUUUUUAUUAUUAUUUCUCAAGAAUCUGUUACCUAUAAUUUUAAAGAAAACAGCACGCCUUCUGUUAUAACAAACAUUAUGGGUAUGAUAAGUACAUUAGGGAUAUCAACUCAUAAUGGAAGUGAACUUGUCCAAGGAAGAAUACAAGAAAUUCUAAAACGAAUAAAUAUCUUGCCUCAUGGCGUACUUUAUUACACUUUAUAGUUUUAAUGAUUUAUAUCUAUAGACCUCUCGAAAUUAAUUAAGAUGAGCAAAAAUAAGAGCAAGCGUAUGUUCCUGAGGUUCCAAGCAACUUGAGUUUGAUAGGGUACAUGCAACGAGACUUACACCUGCUGCAAAAUGGGCGAGUUACACUAUUAUUGAGCUCCACCUCAUAUGAUUCGCCCCACAACUUUGCUACGCUUCUUGGCAUGAGCCCUUCAAAGUCUCCGAGCACACAUUCUGUAUGCAAACUAGCCCGCUGAUCUUUACACGUGUAGAACCAGUUAUUUGGAUAGGUUCUUUCCUCACAAAUGUCACACCAGUAUUUACCACUUGCCUUUUUCUCGCCAUAGCAUAGUGAGAGAGGAUGAUCAUCUAUUCUGUGCUUUACCACUUGUGGUAGAGUGGCACAUUUGAAACCCAAUACAUAUUCACAAUCACCUUCAACGCACCUAAGCAUCCGACGUUCUAUGUUGCUGCAACCAUCGCAUAGUUCUCCUGUUGGAAUGUAAUAUAAGGGAUGUUCGGGAUGACUUGGAUGGACAAAUGGCUCCGUAAUUGAACCGCACAAGACAUCUAACAUCUUAUCACCAUCCUUGUAUAUGAAACCAUUGGACGUUCGAUUGCAAGCAUCACAACUGAAGACACGUAGCUCCUUGUUCGUAACUAAAGUGAGCCGUUCAUUGUGUAGCACAUGCCAUUUCUUUUUAGGACACUCAGCACAUUUAUGAUGGAGAGAAAAAUCACAAUCCAUACAGUCAUAAAAGGAUUGGAGACCGAUGGGAUGGGUGCAUGCACUACACCACUUGUUAUCCUCAUAGAGAACACCAUUCCCAUGGAGCCUUAGGUUAUGCUCUUUGUGGCUGAAAUGUUGUAUUGUGUUUUCAUCUACCACCACAUAUGGUUCUACAUCUUCUUCUUCUUCAGGUAUUCCUUCGAGUUCUUUUCCGUUCCACACAUCCUCUCUAGUAGCACAUUUAGAAUGAACGACAUAGCCAGGACACCUUUGACAAGAAAACCCACCACAAGUCCAAUCCACCUUCUUGCGACAAACUCCGCACACAGAAUUCACAACACCAAGAAUCAAAGUACGAGAAACACGGUGAUCAUGCCGAUUGAUGUUAAUAACACGUGGAAGACCAAGACAGUCUUGAUGGAUCAUGAAAUCACAUUGAACACACAUGUAGGGGCUUCGGUCUCCUUUCAGCCCACAAGCAUUACAUGAAAAAGAAAAGAGUCUUGGAAGGAGGGUGAGUUGGUGACCAUGAGCUUUCAAAUCAACAAGAGAUUGUGGUGGUGAGUUCAGAACACAGCGCAUAUCCAAGGUGAAGUUACAAGAAGAACAAUGAUAAAACAAUUCUUCAUCAACCUCAUUUUCGCAAAGACGGCAUUUACCAUCAGAAUAGUCAGGUGGUGGACCUCUGAGGAGUUUAAGAGGAUGCAAGGAGUGGUAAGAAUGGCUUACCUCUGGCGAGUAAUUUAGCUCUCCUGUUGGGUGCCAUACACAAUCAACAUGGAAGGCUACAUCACAUUCUUCACAUUUGUAAGUAAAUCCAUCACCAGCUUUCCCGCAUUUAGCACAACAGUAGAACUCGGUCAAUUCCUUGAGAAAUGUAAGCUUGUGGCUGUGCGUCUCGAAAUUUUCAAUAACUAGUGGUGGUGGGUGCUUGGCACAGUCUAGAUCCACUUUGAAGUCACACACCUUGCAACGAUAGAAUGUAUUCCAAGUUUCCCUUCCACAUAAACGACAUAUACAAAAACCUUUCUUAGAUCGAAUCCGGAGAGUGUGAUUGGGGUGAGAUGGGUGGACGAUGAAUUCAGAGAGAUUGUCGCCACAUUUCUUGUGCACGAAAAAAUCACAGUUUAUACAAUAGUAUCCAUCACUCACAGAUACGAAGCGUCCACAACAAUCACCUUUCCUCAAAUCAUUCCAGGGCUUCAUAGGAUGCUCGUGGAUUAAUGGAAACGACACUCCCUCAGACUCCAUUUGAUAGUUAGUAUACGAAGAGAUAGGGGAAGAAGAAAGAUGGGUAAAUCUCAAAGUUGGAUCAAACUUCAAAGCUAUGUUAGAUCCGAUCAGUCUCAAAGGCAUUCUUUUAAAAUAAUAUAGACUUGCAUUUAGUUUUGGUGGUGUCACUAAAUAACUAUUAAAAUAGUUAUCACUUAUUAUGGUUGAAUAGUUUAGUAUAUUUAGGACAGAAACCAACAACUACAACUAAGAGCAUUCCAAUGGUGAUAUUCCAUUGGAAUCUUUAGAAAAAAUGUUUUUUGAUUUUUAAUUAUAAUUUUUUUAUUUUUUUCAGAUAAAAAAAAUAAAUACCAAUCAGUCGCGGACUGCCACAUGUCGUGGGGAUCCACAAAUAGUGCAAGGAUUCACUAAAAAAGAAUCUUUAUUUAGGGAUUUUAAGGAUUGAAUCCUUAGCUUUGGUGGAGUUCACUGAUUAUUUAAUUAUUUUUUUCUAAGGACUUCUCUUUAAGGAUUGUUGUUGCGGAUGCUCUAAGACUACUAACAAUGGGAUAAAACAGUUCAAUUUUUUUUUCAACAGCUUCCAUGUUAAAUAAAACUAAAGUGAGUCCAACAGUAACACAUGGCAACAUAUGAAAAAAGUGAUAUUUCAUUGGGCUCCACAUGCAACAUUUUAUUGGUUAAAAAAAAUCUGUGUGUUUUAUUUUCUCCUCUAAAUUAUUAAAACUUAAUUAUUUUAUGGUGACUUAUAUUUUUCAAAACAAAAAUUAUACCAAAAAUCAUCAUUUUUUUUAUGAUCUAUACAUAUAGAUUAGUCUCAUUCUUUUUGGAUAUAUAGGUUUUUUUGUCAUUUUCACUAUUUUGUAAUUUUAUUUGUUUAAAGGUGAUUUUUAUUUUUGUAUUUAUUAUUUUUAAAAUAUAAAACAAUAAAAUAUGUUAAAUUUUUUAAGUUAAAGAUAUUUAAAACUUGAAAUAUAUUUAUUUUAAUAUAUUGUUUACAAAAUGAAAUAUUUUUAAAAAAAUAUGAAAUAAAAUUGUGGAGUAGGGUGUUGAAUGUUCUUAAAAAAAACUAUUGUAGAUGAAAAAAGUUAGAUGAUUAUUGAAUUAUUAUGUGGAAGAAAGAGAUGAUGAUGUGGAAUGUAAAAAGUGUAAUUUAGGCUGUUGAAAAAUUGUGACUAUUGUAUAUAGUAUAAUGGGAAAUUCUUUUCGUACAACUUUCAUCAUUAUAUGGAAUGGUUGCAAGUGAGAAUUAUAAGUGCUCUAGCUUUUACAUAAGUUUAUUGAAUAUUGAAUAAACAGCUAUUCCACGGUAUAUGUGGAGAGCAUAAUCAUAUAAAUAAGUAAAUGUGAGUGAUAGUAACGGUUAGUAAUUGACUGAGAGAGCCAGUUCUGAGUAUGCUUCAUAUGAUUGUCCAAGUUGCAGCUACUGCAGGUUUCAUCUUGUCAAAUGGAAUGGAAUACAAGGGAUGAGGGGUCACAUGAUAUAUUCUUAACGUAAGGGAUGAGACUUUACGGUAUACAUUAUUCAAAAGAGCACUUAAGUGAUUUUGGUCACCUAAGCAAACGCCUCAAACACAACUUGGUACAGAAUUUAUUGCUUAUGUCUGGAAAACCUGUGAGUUUACACCUCCUCAUGUCUCAAACACUAAGCUCAGGACAGAAAUCUGAACUCACAAACGGACAAGUAAACUCAUCGAAACAAGCCAUCCUGAUACGUUCUGGAGUAGCAGGAGUGUCCAAAGGGAACCAUUCGCUGCCAAGACCCACCUCGGCUCGAGCCGCUUUGACUGCAUCUUUAAUCGCAAAUAAAACCGAUGAUGCCAGGAAAAACGGAGGCUCGCCAACCGCUUUGGACGAAUGUAUCCCCUUUGAGUUUGGAUUCCCCUAAUAGAAAAAAAAACAUCUUGGGUAAGUUUCUUGCCUUCCAAGUAAAGUCACAAAGGUUUUUAUUGUUACAUAUAUAUAUAUAUACCUUGAGAAGAGAAACAUUGAAGUUGAAGGGAAUGUCGUUAAUGGAAGGUAUCUUGUAGUUUCCAGGUCCGCAAGUGAGUAGAUUCCCCGGUUUAAUCCAUUUAUGAGAUGCAUCUCCCCAUUUCACUUCUUCUAGAGCUACCCAACCUAACCCUUGUACGAAUGCUCCUUCUAUCUGCAAAACAUGUUCAGGUUUCAGACACAAACGCAACACUCUUGUCUUAAUGAUUUCAAGUGGUUUUGUUUCAAGUACUUGUCCAAUAUCUAUGGCUGGGUUAAGAGAAUAUCCCAGGUCCAACUUUAUAUCGACCGUUCUUGUGUGAAAGUCACCGGUUAAUGUAUCGAUCUCAACUUCCGCAAAUGCAGCUCCAUAGGUGUAAUAUCUGAAAGGGUCUCCUUUACCAGAGAUCCAGUCAAAGCCAACGUCGGGAACAAUGUAAAAGCCAUGAGCCGAGAGGUCUAUUCGUUGAAAAUAGCAUGCGCUUGCCAGCUACAUAACAAGUCAAAAUGAAGAGAGUUUUAUUCAUCCAAAAUGCAAAGAAUAUUUCAUGGAUUCAACUAGAGUUAC